rnacentral:lncRNA from 1 species
GAAAUACUUGCUUCUUUUGGAUGAUGUUUGGAAUGAAGAUGCUCAAAAAUGGUUGUUGUUGAAGCCUUUGUUAUCAAAAGGUGCUGGUGGAAGUAAGAUUAUAGUAACUACCCGUAGUCAACGUGUUGCUGAGAUUAUGGGUACUGUUCUGCGUACAACCUAAGUCUUCUUGGUCAGGAGGACUGUCUGUCGUUGUUUUACAAGUGUGCAUUCAAGGAAGGGCAAAUGGAGUUGUAUCCAAAUUUGGUUGGAAUUGGGAAAGAAAUAGUGGAGAAAUGCAAGCAAGUUCCUCUGGCAGUGAUUAACUUGGGGACUCAACUGUAUGGUAAGACUGAUGAAAAAGAGUGGGAAUCGGUGAGAGACAGUGAGAAGUGGGAAGAAGAGGGAGAUGGCAUUUUACCUGCCUUGAAAAUAAGCUAUCAAAGACUGCCGACUCACUUGAAAAGAUGCUUUCUUUAUUGUUCUGUUUUUCCAAAAGAUUACUUGUUCCGAGAUCUCUUAAUGGUGCAAUUUUGGAUGGCACAUGGGCUCAUUCUUCAAUCAUCAAAUCCAAAUGAGAAGUUGGAAGAUGUUGGCUUGCGUUAUGUGCGCGAGUUGAUCUCAAGAUGUUUCUUCCAAGAUUAUGUGGAUUUCACUUAUGUAGCUAUCUUUAAGAUGCAUGAUUUAAUGCAUGAUCUUGCAUCAUCAUUGGCUCAAAAUGAGUUUUCAAUCAUAAGCUCUCAAAACCACCAACUUUCCAAAACGACCCGUCAUUUGUCAGUUACUGACUCUGAUUUAUUUUUUCAUCAAACUCUCCCCAAGUUCCCAAACAACUUCCAUCAAGUGCGGUCAAUAGUCUUUGCAGAUAGUAUAGCGGGGCCUACAUGCAAAACAGAGUUUGAGAAAUGUUUGUUAGAAUUCAAGCAUUUGCAGUCUUUAGAAUUAAUGGAUGAUUCUGAAUUUGAGGCUUUUACGGAGAGGAUUGGCGCCUUGAAACAUUUGAGAUAUAUCCAUUUUGGGGGCAACGCAAAAAUAAAAAGACUCCCAAAAUCUAUUUUCAAAUUGCAAAACUUGCAAGCUCUGGCUGUAGGUUUUGGAUUAGAAGAGCUGCCCAAAGAUGUGAGGUACAUGAUCAGCCUUAGAUUUUUAUUUGUAGUUACUAAGCAGAAGCGGUUGCCAGAAGGUGGGAUUGGGUGUUUGGAGUGUCUUCAAACUUUAUUCAUUGCCCAUUGUGAAAAUCUAGAAAAUUUGUGCGAAGAUAUGCAAGGUCUUAGAAGUCUUCGAAAAUUGGUUAUUCUUAGAUGUGAUAGCUUGAUUUCUCUGCCAAGAAGCAUAAAAUGCCUAACUACUUUGGAAGAAUUAUUUAUUAUUGACUGUGAAAAGCUUGAUUUGAUGACGAUAGAAGAAAAGAAUGAGGAAAAAAUUCAACCUCUUUCCCUUUCCCUUCGUAUUGUAAUAUUUAACUACUUACCAUCAACUAUUGCUUUACCAGAACAGUUUCUUCAAGGAUCUGCAGAAUCCUUUCAAACAUUUAUCAUCAGAGACUGUCCAAACAUUAAAGAAAUGCCAGAAUGCAUUGGCAAUUUAAAAAAACUUCAAAAUCUUGAGAUAAGUGAUUGUCCAAGGUUGAGCAAAAGGUGCCGAAGGGGAAUAGGAGAAGAUUGGCCCAAGAUCAAACAUAUCCCUAAAAUCAAGGUUGCCGAUGAUGAUAGUGGUGAAGAAACAUCUGAUUAGGUACAGAUUAUAAGUAUUUAAAUAUAUCAUAUUUAGUUUCACAUUUUUAUCCAUUCUUCAAUUCCUUUUUUUCCUUUUAAAUUCUUUUCAAUGUUUAUUUGACACAACCUCUUAUGUUUUGGAGGGGCAGGUUCAAGUGGAACUCCAUCAAAUUUAACCAGAGCAAAAAAACAAGAUAAGGCAUGCCGUGAGUGUCAUGAUAAAAUGCAAAGUUAACUAAUUCAUUUAGUAAUUUAAAUUUCUUUGAAGUUAAUACAUCAUUAUUAAAUUCUAUUUUGUCUAAUUUCUUCAGGUUUACUACUGUAAGGGUCCUAUCGACUGAGAUCUUCUACAACAGUUUGUCUCUUACGAAGAUCAAUUUAAGGCUCGAGUGUCUACUUUGUGUAAUUUUCUUAGCUAGUCAUGAAUAAAUUGAUAAACAUUUAAUUGUUCUGAAUUAUUGGCUUACCUCUUUAUCUUAUUGAAAAUAUUGUGUGUGAUUAUUUAAAUAAUUAUGCUUAACAUAUGAAUGAUUUGGAAGUAAUCUGAAAGUUUCCACCGGCCAUCUCAAUUUAUCCAUUACUAGACUGAGUAACAAUGCAAACAUUUGGAAUAUGCACAAGUACAAAAACUAAUCCACAUUCAAGUGUUUUUGUCUCUGAGCAAGUGAGAAUAAGAGAGGACGGUUGCUUUGGGGGUUGAGGAAGAGGAAGAUCAUUUUAGUGGGACAAAGGAGCUGGUAGUUUUAGCCUUUUGGGGUUAAUUUAGUUUCACAUCCUUGAACUUUUAUGUUUUUCUAAUGCGUCCCUCUGUAGAUUAUUUGUUUUAAUAUAACCCUCCUCCUAAAUCUAUAUUUAUGGUCUAUUUGGGAACGCAAUCCAAACCGUGUUCCUUUAAAUUUUGAAAUUAAAAAUUAAUUUUUUUUAUGUUUUUAGAUCGUUUUGAUGUGUUGAUCUCAAAAAUAAUUUUAAAAAAAUAAAAAAAAAAUAUUUUAAACUACAACCACUAUCACUAACCCAAAUAUACCUUAUAAUCUGGCCAUUUUGUCCAAUGUUAGGCAUUUAAUGUACCAUUAAAUUUUUACACUCUGUUUUUCAUUAAAAUUUGAAAUUUCUUUGCUUAAAUUAAUUAUUUUUUAUUUUUAAAUUUUUUUAAUAUAUAACUGAUAAAAAUAAUUUUCAAAAAAUAAAAAAAAUAUUUUAAUAUAUUUUUAAGUAAAAAUACCUAACACUCUCCAAAACCACCCCUUGAUCCUAACCAAUUUUUGAAAAACUGUUUUUUCAUUUAAAAAAAAAAAAAACAAACAUUACCACCAUGUACCUCGCCGCCAAAACAAUUCACUUAUAGACACAACCACAGCCAACGCCAUCUUCUUGCAAAAUAAAAUGACCCUCAAACAAAACUUCUAGCUUCCUAUAACAAGAAAAGCCGAACUUUUAACACUAACAGCAACCACUAGCAGCGCCGCCUUCACUAUCUAUACCACCACAACCACCCCGACUCCUUCCCUAACAAGCUUUAAUUUAGCAUUAGUGACUUGAAUUUGGAUCAUCACUAUCCAGAUAUUCCUUGCGCAAAAGACAAGGAAUUUAUCUAAUCAUCGUUAUCCUGCUUUAGGACAAGGAGUGCUCCUUUUUGUUUCGUUCAUGUCAUUUUCCUUGCUUCUAGGCCAAGAUUUAAAGCUAUUCCCCCACACAUAUUUGCCUUAUCUCAACUAUCAUUCAUUCCAAGAAAUGGACAUUCUCUGUCAUCUUCACCUUCGCUGAAACAGCACUUCUUGUUUUUAGCACUCAAAAUCUUUGCUGGAAAAUCUAUCAACAAUCCCGACUAUCCCAGCUUCUCUACUUCGACAGGCUCUAUGACUGCCAAACUGAGCUUAUCAUUUCUAACUCUGGAGUGGCUUGUGUAUUCAUUGAUAGUGUAUAUAGAUUUCUUUUAUAUAUAUAAAUCAAGUAUUGAACAUGAAUGUAUAUUUUUGACGACAUUUUCCCUUAUAAAAGAUAUAAGAAAUUCAUUCACAUAAAAAAUCAAAGAAAAAUAGCUGAGGUGGUCUCAUCAAACUAUAGAUGAAAGAUCUAUACUCACCCUCCAAAAAUUCAUUCACUACUCGGCUAUAAAUAGAUCUUCAAGAGAAAACUAAAAGUUUAUAGAACCAUCCAAAAAUACAAAGCAAGAUUUAUUGUCAAAGAUUUCAAACAACAAAAAAUAAUAUAAAUUUUUUUGCUACAUACUUAUCUAUGUUAAUAAUAACUUUUAUAUGAACAUUAAUAGUUAUUACAAUUAUUAACAAGUUAGGAAUACAUCAAAUUUAUGGAAAAAUAUUUUUUUUAAAUGGUGAUUUUGACGGAGAGGUAUCUAUAAAACAACAUAAGAGGUUUGUUGUUAAAGAAAAAAAAAAGAUUUUAAACUUGAAAAGUUAUUAUAUAAUUUGAAACAAGCUUCUAAAUAAUAUCAUCAAAAGUUUGAUAAUAUUAUAUUGUUAAAUAAGUUUAAAAUCAAUAAAGUUAAUAAAAGUAUUUAAGUAAAAAAUAUAAAUAAAAAUUAUGUUAUUACAUUAUUUAUAUUGAUGGAUAUUAAUUUUGGGUAACAACAAAUAUGUGGUCAAAUUUUACAAAAAAAGAAAUAUUAACUAAUCCAGGGGCAUCUUGCAAUGUUGAAAGAUCGUCAAGUGUGUGCUUGCAAUUGCUUUUUAAAAUGCUUUUCAUUAAGAAAUGUUUUAAAAUAAUAUAUUUUUUAAUUUUUUAAAAAAUUAUUUUUGACAUCAGCAUAUUAAAAUGAUCUGAAAAUACUAAAAAAAUAUUAAUUUAAAAUAAAAAAAAAUCAAUUUUUAAAAAAAAUAUUUUUAAAACGCAAAAAUAAACAAGAUUAAAAGGAGAAAUUAUGGUUUGGGUUUUGUUAUAGCAAUUAGAAGAUUUUUUUUUCAUUAAGGGGUUAGUUUAGUGGUAAAGAUACUCGGCUUAAGAGAUAUACUCCCUCAUAGGUUUAGGGUUUAAAUUUCACUGAAUAUAUUUUCUUGGGGCCAUGCCCUCUGAUGUAAAAAAGCAAUGAUUUAUCAUGUUUUUGUGUGGAAAAUUUCUAUGAGUAUAGGCAUAACAGCUUAAAGAUUUAGUUGAGAAGCUCGUAAACUAGUUCGGAUAUCCUGGUAAAAAAAAAAAACAAAACUAGAUGAUUUUUGUGAAUUAAAUUAGGAAGUUUAAGAGUGUUUUGAAUUGUUGAUUGAUGAUGCAAUGCAUUUAGGCAGUCGAUCCUUUCGUAACUUGUUUCAAAAUUUGUGUAUUUAUGUUGUUGAAUCUUUGCUUACCUUCCAAUAAUAUAGCUGCAUGUGACUGAAUGCCGGGAUUCAUUCAUUCCCUCAAUCUUUUAUUCGCUUACUACUAACAGCAACCAUUGACGUCGCCGCCUUCACUCUCUAUACCACCACAGCCACCUCCUACUCUUUCCUCGAUAAAUUCACCUCUUCAAAUCCACUUUCCAAAUCUUCUUUAUUUAUGUUAUUAUAACACGAUUUUUAACCCCUCUAAAAUAUCUAAAAAUAUAUAUUUCAACGUAAAGAAAAUAUUUCAGUUAAAAAAUAUUUCAAAAAUAUAUAUUUUAAGAAUUUCAAAAAAAUAUUUUUUAAAAAUUUCAAAAAAAAACAAAGAAAAAUUACAAUAAGUGGAGGUUGAAAUUCAUUAAUUAAUUAAAAAUUGAAAAGCUAAGGACCAAAUAAAAAAAGGUAUCAAUAUUCAAGGACUAUAUGUAAUCCAAUUAGGGAUGAAAUUGAGAAAAAAUAAAGAAAAAAUAGUUGAAAUUUGCAAAAAGUAAAACAAUUAAAGAUCCAAGAACCAAACUUGAAAAGACACCAAACUUGGAGGACCUUUAAAAAAAUGAAAUUUUCCCUCACAUCAAAAUGUUGUCAUUUUAAUUUUUUUAAAAAAAAUUAAAUGCAACCAUCUAGGUGGUGGUUUAACAGUAAGAGCUUGGAACCAAGAGGUUUGCUUCCUCUAUGGUCUCAGGUUCGAGCCCUAUGUUGCUCAUAUGAUGGUCACUGAAGGCUUACAUGGUCGUUAACUUCAGGGCCCGUGAGAUUAGUCGAGGUGCGGACAAACUGGCCCGGACACCCACAUUAAACUAAAAAAAAAUAAAAAUAAAAAAUAAAUGCAACAGAGUCGUUAUGUCAAUGAAAAAAAAUAUUUUUUUUUUAAAAGAAAAAAUGCAUCAGAAGAAAUUGAUUUCCAAAAAAGUCCUAAAUGUUCUCUUAUUGUAAGAUUGAGUUUUUCUUGGCAAAAGCAUAUCUGGGCUGAAACAGGUGGAUCAAAUGGACAUAUAGAUAUCCAUUUGAUAGUGGUAGAGAUUGUCAGAUAGAAUUUGGAGCUGUAUAUGAACUCUUCCCAUAGAUGAAGUCAGUCUUGGGAUUAGUUAAAAACCGAACUUUUAACACUAGCACAACCACUAGCAGCGUCGCAUUCACACUAUCUACCACCACAACCACCCCGACUCCUUCCCUAACAAAUUCAUCUCUCCAAUACACGCGCUUCCCACUCUUCUUGCACAAUCUCCACCGUCGGUAAGAACCUCCCCUUGCUCUUUCUCUAAGCUAAUAUUUACUUAACCAUGUUUUAAUCAUUUUCACUUUUGCUGACAGAUUGCAUCAACCAUCGCGGAUUGCAAAUUCUCUCUUUAUAACCUACCAGUAAACUCUGAUACUUCAAUAACACUUUUAAGACAUGAAAACAAACAGUCUUUAGAUUUGAUACCAUAAUGGUAGAGAUUGUCAGAUAGAAUUUGGAGCUGUAUAUGGUGCUCUUCCAUUUGUAAUAUAUUUCCUCAAACCUGGUUUUCGUCAUUCUGGUUUUUUGACUUUAUAUUAGAUUACUAUCCAUGUUCUGACAGGUUCUCCAAUCCCUAAAGGGGUGCUUCAGGAUAUCAACAGAAUUCUAGCAUGAUAAGGAUCAUAAACAUCAUUGGGUUGCCUGGCAUCACAUAACCCUUCCCAUAGAUGAAGGUGGUCUUGGGAUUAGCUAAUUCUAUCAUGUUUCGACUGCGUAUGAACUCAAAAAUGAUUUAGACAAAUGAAUGUCUUGCCAUCCUUGCUCUUUCAAAGCCGGGAGCUACUAACGGCUCUAAUAUUCUUUGAUGCUGAAUUGCAAAUACCUCAUAGGAGAUGGGCAUGACACGUCGUUCUGGCUGGAUCAUUGGUUCUUGGAUGGUCCGCUUAUUGAGCACGCUAUUGAGUGGCCCCCAUCUUUUUUCCUUGAUAUCUUAAGUGAACGCGGAAGGUAAUUGGAACCUUGAUUGCUUGCCUCGCCCGGAGCUUGCUUGCUUUAAGAUGUUGAUUGCUCCUCGCCGUACCUCUGGACACAAGACUUUUCGCUUUCAAAGGACUUCGCCUCCUCUUGGGCACCCACUAUCGUCCUUAGUUGUGUUGUAGGGGCCAGGCGGCAUAAUCCUGUGAGUCCGGAUCCACAUGUCAUAACCUUUCUAACUGGCCUAAAGCUUAAAGACAAAUGGCCAUAGAGAGCGAUGAACUCAUCAGACAGCUGCCAGCUAGCCUUGCACUUCCUUAUUCACUCUUGAACUAAAGUAAUGCUAGACUUAAGACUUGAUCUCCUGCGCCUAUUGCGAUUGAUAGCUUUUCCUUUCCCGCUGGUUUACUUGUGUCGGUUUCCCACGGGGUUCUAAAAUAGAUUACAGUACCUGCCCUUUCCAAUUCAAAAUACCCUGUUAUUAUUACCUAAAAAAUCUAACCGUCUUAAGAACUUUAGAAAAAAGAAGAACGAAGACUUAACCAAUCGACCAAUGGGCCUUUCUUUGUAGGCGGCGAAGGGAGGGCAGGUAAUGAGUCUGGACCAUCUGCUAUUGUAGUAUCAAAAUGAGUAUGACUGUACUUUGAAGUUCAGCCCUGUUUCAACGGUAUGACAACCUUCUUUAUUAUAAUGGAUUGCCACAAUAAUUUUUCUUUGUUUUUGGUGGCUCUUUUUUUUUUAUUAUUAUUAUUACUAUCCUUAUAGGCUAAAAUUAGAUAUGAGACUAAGAUGAAAACCAUAGCUAAAAAAGAUGGGUUUUUAAACUUGGGGCUAAACAUAUACUUUAAUUCUCUAACUUUUCAAAUUAUAAACUUUCAAUCCUUAACAAUUUAUAUUAUUUGUUAAUUAUAAUUUUUAUUAUAAUGAUCAGCCUUGGAUAUUUAUUUCUAGUUACGAAGCAGAAGCGGUUGUCAAAAGAUGAGAUUGGUUGCUUGAAAUUUCUUCAAACUUUACUCAUCUAUGAGUGUGAAAAUCUAGAAAAUUUGUGUGAUGAUAUCCAAGGUCUUGAAAAGAUGCCUUCUUUGUUGUUUCAUUUUUUCAAAAGAUUACUACUUCUAGGAUAUUGGUUGAAUUGCGUUUCAAAAAAUGUUUUAUUAAAAUUAAUUUUUUUGCUUAACAUUAUUUUUUUGUUUUAUUAUUUUAUUUAAUGAAUUGAUGUCAAAACUAUUUUUUAAAAUAAAAAAAAUAUUUUAAUAUAUUUUAAAAUAAAAAAAUAUUUUAAAAAAUAACCUAGUCUCAUUCAAUGAAAAUCCAAAUUACAGCUUGGAACAUGCUGGCUUGCGUUAUGUGUGCGAGCUGAUCUCAAAAUGUUUCUUCCAGGAUUAUGAGGAAGCAAUUUCCAAGAUCCCCAAAUGAGUUUUAACAAAUACAUAAGCCUAAUUUUUAAAUUAAUUUUAUUUUUUAAUAAUAAAUUGAUUAAAAAUUAUGCUUCAAUAUUUAUUUUGAUUUAUUUUAUAUGAGAUUAUUAUAAUCUCAUUACUUGAAUUGCGAGUUUAAUAAGAUAAUCUAAAUUAAUUUUUUUUUAUUUUUAUAUAAAGUUAUUUUAAUUUUAUGAUAUAAGUUAUGAGUUUGUAUGAUGUAUUUAUUGACGGGCAUUCAUUAAAGAAACAACGUAAUCUAAACGGAAGAUUUGCUUACUAUCCUGCAAUGUUGUGAAGUAGGUUUCCAACAUUUAAUUAAAAACUCAUGAACUAAAAGACUUGGUCUCGAUUUGAGGAAGCAUGAAAUAGAUGGGAGAAUCCUCGACUAAAUCAAGGCACAUGGACUCCAAGUUAUUUUAUGAAUCAAAGAUGGAAAGAGUUCCUUUGUGCUGUAAUUAUUUAUUUUAAUUUAUCUUACUCUAAAUUUAAAAAAAGUGCAAAGCAAGUGGCCUUGUUGCAAUGCUCUUUGGACGAUGAAACACACAAACAUAUACAGACAAGAAUGAUGACAAAAGGAGUAAGAAAUCAUUGCUUUUGCUUGAAAAAAUGAAUUGCUUAAAUUAAAUAUCCAGUCAUCGACUAUCAAUCUGAGUCAGACCCUAUCACCUAUAACAUGAACCAGGAUCAUGCUUUUGCGAAUUGUUGGAUGCAUCAACGGUCUACAAGCUAUGCCCAGCAAGACGUCGUAGAAUUUCCUCACAUAAUGUGUAUGGUGCAACGCUACCAUAACCAAAUCCAUUCGAGGAUUCUGGCGAGCUCUGUUCUGGUUUGCUCGUUCAUUUUACUUGUUGAACAGAGUCGUGUUUUUUUUUUUUUAAUUUAUAAAUUAGAUAUAAUUUUCAUGUAUUUCUUAAAACUUACACCAUUUUAAUUAUAUAAUUGUUCUCUAAAUAAAUUUUAAAUUGGCUCAAAAUGAGUUUUAAAUCAUAAGCUCUCAAAAACAACCAAUUUCCAAAACGACCCGUCAUUUUUCAGUUACUGAUUCCAUUUCAUUUUUUCAUCAAACUCUCCCCAAAUCCCCAAAUGAGUUCGACCAUGUGUGGUCAAUAUUCCAUGGAAGAAGCUACAACAAUUGCAUAACUCCAAAUUACUAGUCCUUCCUUAUUAGCAACUUCUUGUAAAUUUCUUCUUUUCGACUUUUCAUACCUUAAUUUUAUGAUCAAGAAGACUCGACGACUUCUCCUAUCCACUCAGAAAGCGGAACUCCACUCUUAUCUCAAUCAUUUCUUCCUAUCAAACACUUCUCCCCUCACUCAAAAAAAAUGGCAGAAGCUUUUGCAGCCGAGAUUGCAAAAUCCCUUUUAGGGAAGUUGGCUCUUUCGCUGUCAAGAAUUUCGUUUGGCAUGGGGACUUGAAGAUGACCUUGCACGUCUUGAAGAGAGAUUGAAAGCCAUCAACGCAGUGCUGUCCGAUGCUGAGAAGCAACAAUCAAAGAAUGACAGGAUUCGGCUCUGGCUCCAUAUGCUCAGAGAAGUCUUGUAUGAUGCAGAGGACGUGCUGGACGAAAUCGAGUGCGAAACUUUGCGAAGGCAGGUGGUGAAAACUAACAGGGAGCACCAGCAGAAAGGUACGGCGCUUCUUUUCAAGCUCUAAUAUGAUUCCAUUCCGUUUAAAAUGGGUCAUAAGAUAAAGAAGAUCAUAGAAAGACUAGCUGAGAUUUCAUCUCUUAAGUCUGAUUCAACCUCAGCGAGCAGGCUAUUGAUUGUAGUCAUGUCUUGCAUGAGGAAACAGAUGAACCGAUCCUUUGAGAGCUUUUCCGGUCUUAUCGGAAGAGAUGAAGACAAAGAACGCAUCAUCAGCCUUUUAGAAGCACCUUUUAAGGUUGGUGAUGCACAUCCUCUUGUCCUUCCGAUUGUAGGAAUGGGAGGCUUGGGGAAGACAUCUCUUGCCAAAUCGGUGUGUGAUGCUGAGAAUGUAAAAAGUCAUUUUGAUCUGAAGAUGGAGGUAUGUGUUUCAGAUGAUUUUUCCUUGAAACAAGUGAUACAAAAAUUAUUAAAUCUGCAACUGGUGAAAGAUGUGCGGAUUUGGAUGAGGGUGACUUAAAAAAACUUGAAGAAAUUUGAAUGGUAGGAAAUACUUGCUUCUUUUGGAUGAUGUUUGGAAUGAAGAUGCUAAAAAUGGUUGUUGUUGAAGCCUUUGUUAUCAAAAGGUGCUGGUGGAAGUAAGAUUAUAGUAACUACCCGUAGUCAACGUGUUGCUGAGAUUAUGGGUACUGUUACUGCGUACAACCUAAGUCUUCUUGGUCAAGAGGACUGUCUGUCGUUGUUUUACAAGUGUGCAUUCAAGGAAGGGCAAAUGGAGUUGUAUCCAAAUUUGGUUGGAAUUGGGAAAGAAAUAGUGGCGAAAUGCAAGCAAGUUCCUCUGGCAGUGAUUAACAUGGGGACUCAACUGUAUGGUAAGACUGAUGAAAAAGAGUGGGAAUCGGUGAGAGACAGUGAGAAGUGGGAAGAAGAGGGAGAUGGCAUUUUACCUGCCUUGAAAAUAAGCUAUCAAAGACUGCCGACUCACUUGAAAAGAUGCUUUCUUUAUUGUUCGUUUUUCCAAAAGAUUACCUAUUCGAGAUCUCGAAUUGGUGCAAUUUUGGAUGGCACAUGGGCUCAUUCUUCAAUCAUCAAAUCCAAAUGAGAACUUGGAAGAUGUUGGCUUGCGUUAUGUGCGCGAGUUGAUCUCAAGAUGUUUCUUCCAAGAUUAUGUAGUUGAUGUUAGCUCUUUAAGAUGCAUGAUUUAAUGCAUGAUCUUGCAUCAUCAUUGGCUCAAAAUGAGUUUUCAAUCAUAAGCUCUCAAAACCACCAAAUUUCCAAAACGACCCGUCAUUUGUCAGUUCUUGACUCUGAUUCAUUUUUUCAUAAAACUCUCCCCAAGUUCCCAAACAACUUCCAUCAAGUGCGGUCAAUAGUCUUUGCAGAUAGUAUAGUGGGGCCUACAUGCAAAACAGACUUUGAGAAAUGUUUUCAGAAUUAAGCAUUUGCGGUCUUUGGAAUUAAUGGAUGAUUCUGAAUUUGAGGCUUUUCCGGAGAGGAUUGGCGCCUUGAAACAUUUGAGAUAUCUCAUUUUGGGAAGCAACGCAAAAAUAAAAAGACUCCCAAAAUCUAUUUUCAAAUUGCAAAACUUGCAAGCUCUGUUAAGGUGGGAUUAGAAGAGCUGCCCAAAGAUGUGAGGUACAUGAUCAGCCUUAGAUUUCUAUAUCUAGUUACUCAGCAAAAGCGGUUGCCAGAAGGUGGGAUCGGGUGUUUGGAGUGUCUUCAAACUUUAUUCAUUGCCCAUUGUGAAAAUCUAGAAUAUUUGUGCGAAGAUAUGCAAGUUCUUAAAAGUCUUCGAAAAUUGGUUAUUUUUGAAUGUGAUAGCUUGAUUUCUCUGCCAAGAAGUAUAAAAUGCCUAAUUACUUUGGAAGAAUUAUUUAUUAUAAAGUGUGAAAAGCUUGAUUUGAUGACAAUAGAAGAAGAGAAAGAGGGAAAAAUUCAACCUCUUUCCCCUACCCUUCGUAUUGUACUAUUUGCGACGGUACCAGCAACUAUUGCUUUACCAGAUCAGCUUUUUCAAGGAUCUGCAGAAUCCUUACAAACAUUUAUCAUCAGAGACUGUCCAAACAUUAGAGAAAUGCCGGAGUGCAUCAGCAAUUUAAAGAAACUUCAAAAUCUUGAGAUCAUUGAUUGUCCAAGGUUGAGCAAAAGGUGCAUAAGGGGAACAGGAGAAGAUUGGCCCAAGAUCAAGCAUAUCACUAAAAUCAAGGUUGACAAUAAUGAUAGUGGUGAAGAAAUAUCUGAUUAGGUACGGGUUAUAAGUAGUUAAAUAUAUCAUAUUUAGUUUCACAUUUUUAUCCAUUCUUCAAUUCCUUUUUUUUCCUUUUAAAUUCUUUUCUAUGUUUAUUUGACAAAACCUCUUGUGUUUUGGAGGGGCACGUUCAAGCGGAACUCCAUCAGAUUUAACCAGAGCAAAAGAACAAGACAAGGCAUGUCGUGUCAUGAUAAAAUACAAAGUUAACUAAUUCAUCCAGCAAUUUAAAUUUCUUUGAGCUUAAUACGUUAUUAUUAAAUUCCAUUUUUGUCUAAUUUCUUCAGGUUUACUACUGUGAGGGUCCUGUCGGCUGAAAUCUUCUACAACAGUUUGUCACUUACGAAGAUCAACUUAAGGCUCGGAGUGUCUGCUAUGUGUAAUUUCCUUGGCUAGCUGUGUGUGAUGAUUUGUCAUCAAUAAAUUGAUAAACAUGUGGUUGUUCUGAAUUAUUGGCUUGCCUCUUUAUUUUAUUCAACUUAUCUUAUUUAAAAUAUUGUUAAUUUUAUGAAGUUAAUUUUAUUAUUAUUACUAUUUUUAAUUUAUGUGUUAUUUUGUGAUUUAGUGAAUAAAUUAAAGUUUUGAUUUUGAGUGAAUUUAAUUAAUUAAAUUCGCAAAGAGAGUAUUGAAAUCAUGUAGAAAAUGAAGGAUUUUAUGUGAAAGCUAGGCAGUUUUUUUUAUUUGCUUGUGCAUGUUUGUUUAUUUUCGAUUUUGAAGAAUUUAUGUCUGUUUCGUAGGCUAAUUUUUUGGGUUGGGUAUAUUGUAGGCAGUUCCUAGUAGAUUCAACGAUGUAAAAUAAGUUGUUGAAAUUAAGCAAUUUGGGUUGAUGUUUAACGGAGAUUUAUGUUUCGAUUCUGUAUUUUCUUUGUUUUUUUUUUUGGAGACGUUGUUGAAAGAUGAUCAAAUGUGACUGAAUGCCGGGAUUCUUCCUCUGUCUUUCAUGUAUCUGUUUUUAUUUCGCUUCGGAAAAGUAAAUUUUUUGCCAUACAUUUUAUAUUAGAUAUGUUGGAUCUAUCUUGCUUCUUAUGCUGAACCUAUGAUAUUUCAGUAAUUUGAUUCUUCCAAUAAACUCGACGAUUGCAUUAGGAGAAUCUCUAUGAUGUUCUCUGAUGAAUGUGAAACAUCCCCUUCCCAUACCUUCUUUAUAAUGUUAGAAAAUUUUCUAGUUUUUAGAAACUUCAUGGAUGCUUCUGAUAGAUGACUUGAUAUAUUUCUGUUUCUUAUAUUUCUAUGUACCUAUUAUUAAAAUAUUUCUCAAAUAAAUCUCCCAUUAUGGAAGUUAACCUAACUCUAAUUACAUCUUCAUUCUAAUUCGGACAAUUAACGAAACUUAUCCUUGCAAAUCAAGAGAGAAGGGAGGACUCAAGUUUGAUGGAUUCUUAAUGCCAAAGUAAACUUAAAACUCAACAUUUUGUCAUAAAAAUAGGGUUUUAGAUCUCUGUUAUAUUUAUCUACUCUACCUGAGGCAAGCAACACUCUUGCAAACUUUGACGUCGCCGCCUGAAAAAAAAUAAAAUACCACCGCUUACUACUAACAGCAACCAUUGACGUCGCCGCCUUCACUCUCUAGACCACCACAACCACCUCCUACUCUUUCGUUGAUAAAUUCACCUCUUUACAUCCACUUUCCAAAUCUUUUUUAUUUAUGUUAUUAUAACACGAUUUUUAACCCUUCUUAAAUAUCUAAAAAAUAUAUUUUAACGAGAAAAAAAUAUUUCAAUUAACAAAUAUUUAAAAAAAAAACAAGAAAAAAAAGAGAAAAUAGACCUGGAUUUUAUAAAAUUUAAUAACAUAACUUUUUUUUAAAACUAUUUUUUAAUAAUAUAAGAAGAAAAUAGACAAUAAAAAAACUUAAGUUCAAUUAAAAAAAAAAUACUCCACCAAACUCGUAAACCAGGGCAACCGGUAUUACCUUAACAAAUCCUCAAACCAUGUUAACCUUAUAGAAAAGUAAGAUAAAAAAAACAAAUUAUAAAACUAAAUUAUUAACCAUCCCAAUAUUAUAAAAUCAAUAAAAACAAAUUUAAAACAACAAUCAUGACAAAAAUUUAAAAACAUAAAGAAAAAAGAAAGAAAGCAAAACACCGUGGGCUACUAUUGUCAUUCACAGUGCAAUGUGUGUAUGUGAACAAUGGUUGUCUCAUACCCUUUAAUUUUUGUUACUUUAUAAAGUUUAAUAACUGACUUUUCUCUAAAACUAUUUUUUAACUAUAUGAGAAAAAAAUAGACUAUAAAAAAAGUUAAAUUCAAUUAAAAAAAGAUAAUUCCCCAAACUUAAAAACCAGAGCAACCUAAUUUACCUUAGCAAACCCGCAAAUCACGUUAAACUCAUAUAAAAAGAAGCAAAUUACGAAGUUAAAUUCUUAACAAUGUCAAUUUAAAAGACGAAAUCAACAAAGAUAUAUUUAAAAAAAUCAUAACAAUAAUUCAAAAAAACACCAAAAAAAAAGAAAGCAAAAAAGUGUGGAUUACUAUUGUAAUCCUCAGUGCAAUUGGGAGAACAGUGGUUUCUCUUAUAUCCUUUAAUUUUUAAUACGUCAUAAAGUUUAUUAACAUAGUUUUUCUCUAAAACUAUUUUUUUAAUAAUAUGAGAAAAAAUAGAAUAAAAAAAUCAAGUUCAAUUAAAACCCCAUUAAAUCUAUAAAAUAAGACAACUUGUAUUACUUCAACAAACCCACAAGUCAUACUAACCUCAUAAAAAAAAAAUAUUAUAAAACUAAAUUCUCAAUCAUUUUUAUUUUUCUUUUUCUAAACUAUGUGCCACCAGCAACAAGCAGCUUAAAUUCAUCUAAUCAUCGUUAUCAAGCUUUAAUUUACCAUUAGUGACUUGAAUUUGAAUCAUCACCAUCCAGAUAUUCCUUUUUGUUUCGUUCACGUCAUUUUCCUUGCUUCUAGGCCAAGAUUCAAAGCUAUUCCCCUACACAUAUUUGCCUUAUCUCAACUAUCAUUCAUUCCAAGAAAUGGACAUUCUCUGUCAUCCUCACCUUCACUGUUAUCCCCUCAACCUUCUUGUUUUUAGCACUCAAAAUCUUUGCUGGAAAAUCUAUCAACAAUCCCAACUAUCCACCAGUUAAAGGCACAAACUUUAACCAGCUUCUCUGCUUCGACAGGCUCUAUGGCUGCUAAACUGAGCUUAUCGUUUCUAACUCUGGAGUGGAUUGUGUAUUCAUUGAUAGUGUAUAUGGAUUUGUUUUAUAUAUAUAAAUCAAGUAUUGAAUAAGUUCAUCCUAAUAUAAUAAUACAAUCAAUGAAUAUACACUUUUUAAAGACAUUUUCCCUUAUAAAAGAUAUAAGAAAUUCGUUCACAUAAGAAAUCAAAGAAGAAUAGCUUAGGUGGUCUCAUCAAACUAUAGAUGAAAGAUCUAUACUCUACCAUCCAAAAAUUCAUUCCCUAGUAGGCUAUAAAUAGAUCUUCAAGAGAGAGAAAAUUGAAAGCUAAUAGAACCAUCCAAAAACAAGAUUUAUCGUUAAAGGUUUCAAACAACAACAAAAAAAUUUAUUUUACUACAUACUUAUCUAUGUUAAUAAUAAUUUUUAUAUGUAUAUUAAUAGUUAUUACAAUUAUUAACAAGUUAGGAACAUAUCAAAUUUAUGGAAAAAUAGUUUUUUAAAUGGUGAUUUUGACAGAAAGGUAUUUAUAAAACAACCUAAGAGGUUUGUUGUUAAGAAAAAUUAAAAAGAAAAAGAUUUUAAACUUGUGAAGUUAUUAUAUAGUUUGAAACAAGCUUCUAAAUAAUUGCAUGAAAAGUUUAAUUACCCUAACAAAUCCUCAAACAUGCUAACCUUAUAGAAAAGUAAGAUAAAAGGAAACAAAUUAUAAAACUAAAUUAUUAAUCAUCCCAAUAUUAUAAAAUAAAUAAAAACAAAUUUGAAACAACAAUCAUGACAAAAAUUCAAAAACAUAAAGAAAAAAACAAAAGCAAAACACCUUGGGCUACUAUUGUCAUUCACAGUGCAAUGUGUGUAAGUGAACAAUGGUUGUUUCACACCCUUUAAUUUUUGUUACUUUAUCAAGUUUAAUAACUUGACUUUUCUCUAAAACUAUUUUUUAACUAUAUGAGAAAAAAAAAUAUAGACUAUAAAAAAAGUUAAAUUCAAUUAAAAAAAAAAAAAGACAAUUCACUAAACUUAAAAACCAGAGCAACCUAAUUUACCUUAGCAAACCCACAAAUCACGUUAACCUCAUAUAAAAAAAAAAAAAAACAAAUUACAAAGUUAAAUUCUUAACAAUUUCAAUUUAAAAGACGAAAUCAACAAAAAUAUAUUUUAAAAAAUCAUAACAAUAAUUCAAAAAAACACCAAAAGAAAAGAAAAAAGAAAGCAAAAAAGUGUGGAUUACUAUUGUAAUCCUCAGUGCAAUUGGGAGAACAAUGGUUUCUCUUAUAUCAUUUAAUUUUAAUACGUCAUAAAGUUUAAUAACAUAGUUUUUCUCUAAAACUAUUUUUUAACAAUAUGAGAAAAAAUAGAAUAAAAAAAUCAAGUUCAAUUAAAAACCCAUCAAAUCUAUAAAAUGAGACAACUUGUGCUACAUCGACAAACCUACAAGUCAUACUAACCUCAUAAAAAGAAAAAAUAAAAGGAAAAAAAUUAAAAAAACUAAAUUCUCAACCAUCUUAAUAUUAAAAAAAUAAAAUUAACAAAAAUAAUUUUAAAAAAAAUAUAACAAAAAAACAAAAAUAAAAUAAAAAACAAACCAUAUAAAAAAAAUGUAAAAAAACAUUGUAACGGUGAAGUACUUUUCCAUGUCAUUUAGCUUUUCUUUGUAAUAAUAAGUGACUGUCUACAUUUACUUGUAUAAAACCAAAGGGACCCACGCAGGUCCCUGUGUUUCAUCAUAUAGGCCGAACCUGUCAACACGUUAAAUGAGGAUGCCUGCUGAUUAGUCAAUUAUAUAAAUACUCCAUUACCUAAAUGAAAAAAAGUCUCACUUCCCCACACAAAGAGCAUCCCAAGUAGUCAUUUCAUAAUUUACAACAACAAAUAUUGCAAGCAAACAACUAUUUAGAACCGGAUGGUUGGUUUAAACUGUUUUUUUUUUAAAAAAAAAAAAUUAAUUAGUUUGAAUUAGUUUUAUUUUGAUUUCAAUUUUUUUUUAAAAACUAAUUUAAUUAUUUAUUUUUAUAAAAAUCAAAUUAAACCAAAAAUAAUUAAUCUUAAUUGGGAUUUGGGAAUGUGAAAAUUGUUGGUAGUCAUGGGAUUAACAUAUUCGUGUUUUAGCUGCAAAUUUCUGAAUGCAAAGUUAAAAUUACAUUACGGAAUAAAGUAAAGGGUGUGGCGUUUUUCCUCUUCAUAUCAAUACUCAGAAUUUACUAUGCUCUUUAGCUGUAAUGCACUUAUAAUAAGGGUGUGUUUGAUUUAUUUUUACCUAAAAUGAAAUUUUUUAUAUUUUUAGAUUAUUUAUCAAAAAUAAUUUUAUUUUUUAAAAAAUAUUUUAAUACAUUUUUAAACAAAUUUUCAAAACAAAAAAAAAACACCCUAAACAAUUAUUUGUAGGCAAUAAUGAACUCACUACAAGACGAAAAAACAACUGUUUGCUCUCUUUGCAAAAGUUAGGGGUUCACCAAAAUUCUACGGACCCAUCCACAAACUUUAGAGUAAAAACAAAAAAGCAAACAAUGGUCAAAGAUGCUCCGCAGCUGUAAUGCACUCAUAAUAAGAAAUUAAUUAUUUAUAAAAUUAUAUCAAUUCAAUGAAUUUAAUAAAUUAAUUCACACUACUUUAAAGUAAAAACAAAAUAAGGGCAAACAAUGGUCAAAGAUGUGGGUCCAAGCCAAAGAAGUGUAAAUAUAAAAACUAAAUUGAUAAAAUAACAUUUUAAAUAAUAUAAAUAUAAUUUUUUUUACUAUAUUUAUUUCAAUAAAAAAAAGUUAUUUGAAAAGCCAAACAAGUGUUUUAUUAUUUUUUAAUAAAUUUGAUGUUAUUUUUUUUUUCACAUGGCUAUAUUUAAUUGGUUUAUUUUUUUAAUGGUCGUACUUUGUUGGUUUUGGCUCCUUGAAAAGAUAGGUAGCAUUUGUGAAAAAAAAAUACUUUUUAAUAUUUUAUUUGGCUUUUUCCUUGAAAUAUAUAAAAUAAACAAAAAAAUUAAAAUAUUAAUUUUUUUAAUUUUAGCUUUCCAUUCGUUGAAAAUAUUAUAAGCUCCUUUAUUGAAAUGGGAGCAUUUGGUGCACUCGUAAAAGCACAUAAAUUCCACCAAAAAAACUUUUAAAAUUAAAAUAAAUUUCAAUGGUCAAAGAUAAGGGUCCAUGCCAAAGACAAUAAUUCAAACAUGUAUCAGAAAAUAAGGCAGUUUUUUUCUUGGUGUAGGGUAUUUUUUAAAAAUAUAUAUUUUGAGAUAUUGUUUUUUCUUUAUAUUUACCCCUUAAAAUAUUUAUAAAAUAAUAAAAAUAUUAUUUUGAAUCUUUUUCAAAAAAUACUCAAAAUUUUAGAAAAGCCGGUUGAAUUAGUCUCCUCAACAAGGCAUAAAAAAUAUGAUAUUUUUACUAUAUAGCCUUAUAAAAACUAUUCAUUUUAAUAGUUUUUUUUUGUUUUUUUUUAUAAUUAUUUUUUUUUUAAUUUCAUACUUCAAAAUGAGUUAACUAGGUUAACUCAAAUUUUUUUUUUAAUUGAUAUUUUUUUUUCAAUUUUACCAUUAAACUUUGGGUUGAUUAUGAAUUAGACUUCAUGAUUUAUUUUAGUUUUUUUUUCUUUGAGGUUGUCUUGAUCUCAUGACUCGGGUCAUAUGUCUGGCGGGUUAACCUAGUUGACUCGAGUCAUAUGUCUGGCGGGUUAACCCAGUUGACUCGAGUUUAUUUUUCUUUAACCUGAGCGGGCGUGGAAGGUUAACCUGAGAUGACUCAGAUUAUUUUUUUGUUUACUUUAUGUGAGAUUAUCUUAAUUUCCUAACUCAAGUCACCAGUUUAGCAGGUUAACUCAAGUCAAAAUUUUUAUUAUUUUUCAUUUUUUUUUCAAUUUCAUUAUUUGAGUUAAUUGAGAAUUGAGCUUCAUAAUUUAUUUUGAUUUGUUUUAUAUAAAUUUAUUAUGGUCUCAUAAUCCAGGUCACGAAUUUAGUAAGUUAACUUGGGCUAAACUAGAUCAAUUCAAGUUACCUUACAAACCCACAAAUCAUGUUAAUAUCAUAAAAAAAAAAAAAAAAAAGAAAUUACAAAACUAAAUUUUAAAUCAUCUCAAUAUUAAAAACUAAAAUAAGCAAAAAUAAUUUUAUGUAAUAUGUAAUUUGUGAAAAAGAGUGGAAAUCUGUGAGAGAUAGUGAGAAGUGGGAAGAAGAGGGAGAUGGUAUUUUACCUUGGCUAACUUUGAAAGUAAGUUACCGAAGACCGCCGACACACUUGAAAAGAUUACGAGGAAGCAAUUCCCUUGGCUACCUUUAAAAUGCAUGAUCUUGCAUCAUCAUUGGCUCAAAAUGAGUUUUCAAUCAUAAGCUCUCAAAACCACCGAUUUAAUUUCCAAAACGACCCGUCAUUUGUCAGUUACUGAUUCCAUUUCAUUUUUUCAUGAAACUCUCCCCAAGUCCCCAAAUGAGUUCGACCAUGUUUGGUAAAUAUUCCAUGGGAGAAGCUACAACACAGUUGCAUCACUUUAAAAAUAAACUUCAAUUUAAAUAUUAUUAUUAUUAUUAUUAUUAAUUUAUGUGUUAAUUUGUGAAUUAGCGAAUAAUUUAAGUUUUGAUUUUGAGUGAAUUUAAUUAAUUAAAUCCGCGCCAUUAUGUCAAUCAAAAAAUAAUUAAAAAAAUUAAAAAAAGAAUAUGAAAAAUGCAUCAGAAGAAAUUGAUUUCCAAAAAGAGUUCUAAAUGUUCUCUUAUUGUAAGAUUGAGUCUUACUUGGCAAAAGCAUAUCAACGCUGAAAAUGGUGGAUCAAAUGGAUAUACAUAUAUCUGUACAUUUAUAAGAGCAUGUUUGGUAUUAUAAAAAAAAAUUACUUUUUAUAUACAAAUAUAUUAAAAUAAUAUUUUAUUAUUAUUUUUAAAAAUUAAUUCUUAACAAACACAUUAAAAUGAUCUAUAUAAAACAUAAAAAUUGUUUAAGUAAUGAAAAAAAUAAAAAAAUUCAAAACUUUUUAAUAAUAUUUUUAAAACAUAAAAACCAACUAUCUUUAGUUUUGAUACCAUGAUGUGGCUGACCCAAAUAUAUGAUAGCGGUUAAGAUUUUCAGAUAGAAUUUGGAGCUAUAUAUGGUGUGGCUGUACAUCUUUGACGUAGAAAGCACUUCUAUUACAGCAUUCUACAGAUGGAUGAAGAUGAAAGAUACAAUUGAAAACUAGAAUAUGGACUCUACACUCUUUAGGUUAGCAAAUUACAGACCUCAUUUUUUAAAAUUUUAAUUUUAAAAGAUAAAAUUAACAAAAAUAAAUUUUAAAAAAUCAUAAUAAAAAAUAAGAAUAAAAAACAUCUUUCUAUUAUAAUCCACGGUAUAAUAGGUGUUAAGUGAACAAUGAUUCCCUAAUAUUCUUUAAUUUUGUUACUUUAUAAAGUUUAAUAAUAUGAUUUUUCACAAAAAUUAAUUUUUUAAUAAUAUAAAAAAAAUAAAUUAUAAAAAGUCAAGUGCAAUGAAAAAAAAAACCUAUCAAAUUCAUAAACUGGAAUAAUCUGGGUUAUUUUAACAAACCCAUAAAUCAUGUUAACCUUUAAAAUAAACAAAAUAAAAAGAAAAAAAUUUCAAAAUUAAACUCUUAACCAUCUCAAUAUUAUAAAAUAAAAUCAGCUAAAAUAAUUUUUUAAAAAUUCCUAACAAUAGAAAAAUAAAAAUAAAAAACUAUUUAUAAAAAAAUAUCAUAUAGCAAUCCGUGGUUUUGUAAAAAAAAAUUACAGUGAUUUUCCUAUUUCAUCUGCGCAUAUUUAAUCCAGAUAUGAUUAAAAAUAGAAACUAACUCGAUUUUUUUGCGAAAGCAGGUCGCCUAAGAAUAUGGUCAAAUAUGGGUGACUGUGUACAUUUACAUGUAUAAAAGCAAAGGGACCCACGCAGGUCCAUGUGUUUCAUGAUGUAGGCUGAACCCGUCAACACGUUAGAUGGAGGAUGCCUGCUGAUUAGUCGAUGCAGUCAAUUUGGACGCGUGGAUACUUUACGGUGGGGUCUUGUUUUGUGAAACUUUCGGCAAUUACUGGGAAUAUGGACUUUGCAUUUUAGGGAUUCCUCGGUGUGAAAUGUGGAAACUGUGGGCGGCCAUGAUAUUAACAUAUCCCUAAUGAUUUGGAAGUAAUCUGAAAGUUUCCACUGGCCAUCACAAUUUAUCCUUUAGACUGAGUAAUAAUGCAAACAUUUGGAAUAUGCACAAGUACAAAAACUAAUCCACAUAAGUGUUUUUGUCUCUGAGCAAGUGAGAAUAAGAGAGGACGGUUGCUUAGGGGGGUUGAGGAAGAGGAAGAUCAUCUUAGUGGGACAAAGGAGCAGGUAGUUUUAGCCUUUUGGGGUUAAUUUAGUUUCACAUCCUUGAACUUUUAUGUUUUUUCUAAUGCAUCCCUCUAUAGAUUAUUUGUUUUAAUAUAACCCUUAUUCUAAAUCUAUAUUUUGCAUUUUCACAUGCUUAAAUUUUUUUUGUUAAAAAUUAAUAUUUUUAUAUUUUCAAAUCGUUUUGAUAUAUUGAUCUUAAAAAUAAUUUUUAAAAAUAAUAAUAAAAAAUUAUCAAAUUCAAAUGAAAACUCGGGAGAUGUUGGCUUGCGUUAUGUGCGCGAGUUGAUCUUAAGAUGUUUCUUCCAAGAUUACGAGGAUGGAAUUUUCUUAGCUACCUUAAAAAUGCAUGAUUAUAGGCUCUCAAAACCACCAAAUUUCCAAAACGACCCGUCAUGUGUCAGUUCUUGACUCUAAUUCUUUUUUUCAUCAAACUCUCCCCAAGUUCUCAAAUGACUCAGACCGUGUGGGGUCAAUGGUCUUUGCAGAUAGUAUAUUGGGGCCUACAUUAAAAACUGAUUUUAAGAAAUGUUUGUCAGAAUUGAAGUAUUUGCGGUCUUUAAAAUUAAUGUAUGAUUCUGAAUUUGAGGGUUUUCCAAAAUAUCUUGAUUUCUCUUCCAAAAAGCAUAAAAUAUCUAAGAAGAAUUUGUUAUUGAAAGUUGUGCAAGGUUUGAUUUGAUGUGACAGAAAAAGAGAAACUAGAAAAUUCAACCAUUUUCUCUUAAUAUUGUAAUAUUUAAAGGGUUAUCAGCAACUCUUAUCUUAUUAGAACAGUUUUCUCAACGAUCUAUCUAAAUUUAUAUAAACAUUUAUCAUUAGAGACGGUCCAAAUAUUAAAGAAAUAUCAGAUUGCAUCAGCAAUUUUAAAAAAAUUUAAAAUCUUGAGAUCAAUGAUUGUACAUGUUUGAAUACCAGAUUGUAAUGCGCAUGAAAAUCAAUUGUCACAUUUACUAUGCUCCGCAGCUGUAAUGCACUCAUGAGAGAGAUUGAUUUUCCUAGUUCAUUUCAGCUGUCACAUUUACUAUGCUCCGCAGCUGUAAAGCACUCAUAAGAGAGAUUGAUUUCUCAUGAGAGAAAUUGAUUUGUAGGCAAUAAUUAAUAAAAACAACUGUUUGCUCUGUUUGGUCUUUGCAAAAGUUAGGAAGUGCACCCAAAUUCUACGAACCCGUCCAGAAACCAUUUAGAGUAAAAAAAUAAAAAUAAAAAAUAAAAAAGGGCAAAUAAUGGUCCAAGAUGCGGGUCCAAGCCAAAGAAGUGCACCGGUUAAAGCACCUUUAAUGAAAUGGGCGCAUUUGGUGCACCGGUAAGAGGACAUUAAUUCCACCAAAAAGAACUUUUAAAAUUAAAAUAAAUAACAAUGGUCAAAGAUAAGGGUCCAUGCCAAAGACAAUAAUUCAAACACAUAUCAGAAAACAAGGCUUUUUUUUUUUUUCCGAGUGUAGGGCAUUUUUUUGAAGUUUUUUUUUUUAAUAUAUUAAAAUAUUGUUUUUUCUUUAUAUUUGCCCAUUAAAAUAUUUAUAAAAUACUAAAAAUAUUAUUUUGAAUUUUUUUCAAAAAAUACUCAAAAUUUUGAAAAAACCAAUCGAAUUACUCUCCUCAACAAAGCAUAAAAUAGAUAAUGUUUUUACUAUACAACUUCAUAAAAUACUAUUCAUUUCAACCUCAUAAAACACUCAUAUAAAAAUAAAACAACGACAACAUGUGCUAUUUUGAUAAGCCCACAAAUCAUACUAGCUUCAUAAAUAGAAAAAGAAAAAGAAAAAAAUUACAAAAUUAAAUUUUCAAUCACCUUAAUAUUAAAAAAAUAAAACCAACAAAAAUAAUUCUUAAAAAAUCAUAAAAAAACAAAGAAAUAAAACCAUUUUACAUUUUAAAUAAGAAGACUCAACGACUUCUCUUCUCUCCACUCAGAAAAGAAAGCAGAACUCCACUCUUAUCUCAAUCAUUUCUUCCUAUCAAACACUUCUCCCCUCGCUCAAAAAGAAAAUGGCGGAAGCUUUUGCCGCCGAGAUUGCAAAAUCCCUUAUAGGGAAGUUAGGCUCUUUCGCUUGUCAAGAAUUUCGUUUGGUAUGGGGACUUGAAGAUGACCUUGCACGUCUUGAAGAGAGAUUGAAAGCCAUCAACGCGGUGGUGUCCGAUGCUGAGAAACCUAACAAAAUUUAUUUAUUUUAUUUAAAAUUAUUUUUAUAUAUUUUUAGAUGCGUUGAUAUAAAAAAUAUUUAUAAAAAAUAAAAAAAAUAUUAUUUUAAAAUAUAUUUAAAUAAAAAAUAUUUUACAAAACAACCACUAAAAAAUACUUUUUCAUACCACUUUAUUGGUGCCAUUUUGGAUGGCACAUGGACACAUUCAAUCAUCCAAUCCAAAUUAAAACAUUGAAGAUGCUGGCUUGCGUUAUGGUCGCGAGUGGAUCUCAAAAUAUUUCUUCCAAGAUUAUAUUUUAUUUCAAAUGCAUGAUCUUGCAUCAUCAUUGGCUCAAAAUAAGUGCUCGAUCGUAAGCUCUCAAAACCAUCAAUUUUCCAAAACGACCCGUCAUUUGUCAUUCAUUUCAUUUUUUCAUCAAACUCUCCCCAAGUCUCCAAAUGAGCUCGACCAUGUGAGUUUUAUUAAGCGGAACUCCACUCUUAUUCCAAAACCUUGAAAAACUCUCACCGUUACCUUUUUUUAUAUGGUUAUGUUACGUAGUAUAAAUAAUCAAAUAAAUUAAGAAUGUACUUAAUUUAUUAAACAACAUUGUCCCUCUUCAGCAGUUUGAAAUUCGGGUGGAAUUAUGGUUCCUUGAGAAGAGUAGUAAAAUUAAUGCUAUAAAUGAUUCAGAAAUGGAAGGACCAUAUAGAACCGUGUUCAUAAGAAUUAGACUGUCAUGGUAGCCAGCGAGCUAAGACCGAUCCUCAAUUCCUAUAUAUAUAGAACUCCAAAGCAGUAUCUGCCUUAUUUGGCCAAUUACACAGAAACAAUUAAGGAUUAAAUCGUUAAUAUUAUGAAAAAGAAAACAGCCUUUUAAACAAGCAAUUCAUGAAGUGUAUUUCAAAUAGCAUGCUUAAAUAUGACAUGUAUGUCCAUGUGUUUAGGAUUUAAAAUUAAGGUUUCUAAUUACACAAAGGGACCCAUCGGCAGGAGAAUUAUUGGGAAUGUGGUUUUUGUUAAACAAUCCAAUUUAAACAAAGAGAAAUAAGAAUAUGAGGUCAAAGAUGCUCCGCGGCUGUAAUACACUAAUAAUAAUAAAUUGAUUUGCAGGCGAUAAUUAACUCACUACAACACGAAAAAACAAUUGUUUGCUUUAUUUGGUCUUUGCAAAAGUUAGGGGUUUACCCAAAUUCUACGAACCCAUCCACAAACCAUUUAGAGUAAAAAAAUAAAAAAUAAAAAUAGGGCAUACAAUGGUGAAAGAUGCUCGGCAGCUGUAAUGCACUCAUAAUAAAAAAUUAAUUAUCUAUGAGAUUAUCCCAAUAUCUUAAUUUAAAUUAUGAUUUUAGCAAGUUAUCAGUUUAAAUGAUGAACUUGAGGAGAAAUAAAUUAAAAAAUUAAAAAAUAUAUUAUAUUAAUAGAUAAACUUGUUAAACCUGUAAAUCAGGUAAAUUAGGUUAGUACGUCAAACAUGUGAGCUGGGUUAUGAACUUCACUAGAAUUAUAAAAAAAUAUUUAAUCCAUUUUUUAUUUAACUACGAAUAACUAAAAUAGAUAAUUAUAAAAUCAAACAUAAUCUCAAUAUUGAGAUGUUUUUUAGAUUACAAUAACCUCAUAAAAAACAAUAACCUCAUAAAAAAACAAAAUAAAACCAAUUAUGAAACUAAAUUCUCAAUUAAUUUAGUAUGUAAGGAUGCAAAAAAAACUAAUUUAAAAAAGUAAAACUUGCUAGACUCACAACCAAUUCAAUCAACAAACAUGUGAAUAGACCUAUGGCUUUUUUCUAGAACUAUUUUUUUAACUAUAUGAGAAGAAAAUAGAUAAUAAAAAAAUUAAGUUCAAUUAAAAAAAAAAGAUAACACUCCACCAAACUUGUAAACCAGGGCAACCAGGAUUAUCCUAACAAAUCCACAAACCAUGUUAACCUUAUAGAAAAGUAAGAUAAAAGGAAACAAAUUAUGAAACUAAAUUAUUAAUCAUCCCAAUAUUAUAAAAUCAAUAAAAAAAAUUGAAACAACAAUCAUUACAAAAAUUCAAAAUCAUAAAGAAAAAAGAAAGAAAUCAAAACAUUGUGGGCUACUAUUGUCAUUCACAUUGCAAUGUGUGUGGGUGAACAAUAGUUGCCUCACACCCUUUAAUUUUUGUUACUUUAUAAAUUUUAAUAACAUUACUUUUUCUAAAACUAUUUUUUUAACCAUAUGAGAAAAAAAUAGACUAUAAAAAAAGUUAAAAUCAAUUAAAAAAAAGACAAUUCACCAAACUUUAAAACCAGAGCAACCUAAUUUACCUUAGCAAACCCGCAAAUCACGUUAAUCUCAUAUAAAAAAAAUAAAAAGAAGCAAAUUACAAAGCUAAAUUCUUAACAAUGUCAAUUUAAAAGACGAAAUCAACAAAAAUAUAUUUUUAAAAAAAUUAUAACAAAAAUUCAAAAAAAAACAAAAGAAAAAAGAAAGCAAAAAAGUGUGGAUUACUAUUGUAAUCCACAGUGCAAUUGAAAGAACAAUGGUUUCUCUUAUAUCCUUUAAUUUUGAAUACGUCAUAAAGAUUAAUAACAUAGUUUUUCUCUAAAAUUAUUUUUUUAACAAUAUGAGAAAAAAUAGAAUAAAAAAUCAAGUUCAAUUAAAAACCCAUCAAAUCUAUAAAAUGAGACAACUUAUGUUACUUUGACAAACCCGCAAAUCAUGCUUACCUCAUAGAAAGAAAAAAUAAAAGAAAAAGAAAUUACAAAACUAAAUUUUCAAUUAUUUUAAUAUUAAAAAAUAAAAUUAAAAAAAAUAAUUUUGAAAAAAAUUAUAACAAAAAAACAAAAAAUAAUAAAAAACAAACCAUAUAAAAAAAUGUAAAAAAACAUUGUAACAGUGAAGUACUUUUCCAUGUCAUUUAGCUUUUCUUUGUAAUAAUAAGUGACUGUGUACAUUUACUUGUAUAAAACCAAAGGACCCACGCAGGUCCCUGUGUUUCAUCAUGUAGGCCGAACCUGUCAACACGUUAGAUGGAGGAUGCCUGCUGAUUAGACAAUUAUAUAAAUACUCCAUCACCUAAAUGAAAAAAAGUCUCACUUCCCCACACAAAGAGCAUCCCAAGUAGCCAUUUCAUAAUUUACAACGACAAAUAUUGCGAGCAAACAACUAUUUAGAACCGGAUGGUUGGUUUAAACUGGUUUUUUUUUUAAAUAAUUAAAAUUAAUUGGUUUGAAUAAGUUUUGGUUUGUUUUUGGAUUUUUUUAAAAAUAUUAAUUUAAUUAUUUAUUUUUAUAAAAAUUAAAUUAAACCAAAAAUAAUUAAUUCUAAUUGGGAAUGUGAAAAAUGUUGGCAGUCAUGGGAUUAACAUAUUCGUGUUUUAGCUGCAAAUUUCUGAAUGCAAAGUUAAAAUUACAUUACGGAAUAAAGUAAAGGGUAUGGCGUUUUUCCUCUUUAUAUCAAUACUCAGAAUUUACUAUGCUCCUUAGCUGUAAUGCACUUAUAAUAAGGGUGUGUUUGAUUUAUUUUUAUCUAAAAUAAAAUUUUUUAAUAUUUUUAGAUUAUUUAUUAAAAAUAAUUUUUUUAAAAUAAAAAUAUAUAUUUUAAUACAUUUCAACUUUUUAAAACUAAAAAAACACAGGCAAUAAUUAACUCACUACAAGACGAAAAAACAACUGUUUGCUCUCUUUGCAAAAGUUAGGGGUUCACCCAAAUUCUACGGACCCAUCCACAAACUUUAGAGUAAAAAAAUAAAAGAAAAAAGAAGCACACAAUGGUCAAAGGUGCUCCGCAGCUGUAAUGCACUCAUAAUAAGAAAUUAAUUAUUUAUAAAAUUAUAUCAAUCUUCUAAUUCAAAUCACGAAUUUAAUAAAUUAAUUCAGGCUACUUUAGAGUAAAAAUAAAAUAAGGGCAAACAAUGGUCAAAGAUGUGGGUCCAAGCCAAAGAAGUGCACCGGCUAAGCUCCUUUAUUGAAAUGGGUGCAUUUAGUGCACUCGUAAAAGCACAUAAAUUCCACCAAAAAGAACUUUUAAAAUUAAAAUAAAUUUCAACGGUCAAAGAUAAGGGUCCAUGCCAAAGACAAUAAUUCAAACACGUAUCAGAAAAUAAGGCAGUUUUUUUCUUGGUGUAAGGAAUUUUUUAAAGUUUUUUUUUUUUUAAAAAAUAGUUUUAGAUAAUGUUUUUUCUUUAUAUUUACCCCUUAAAAUAUUUAUAAAAUACUAAAAAUAUUAUUUUGAAUCUUUUUCAAAAAAUACUCAAAAUUUUAGAAAAGCAACAAGGCCUAAAAAGUAUGAUGUUUUUACUAUACAGUCUUAUAAAAACUAUUCAUUUUAAUAGUUUUUUUUUUUUUCUAUAAUUGUUUUUUUUUUUCUAAUUUCAUACUUUGAAACGAGUUAACUCGGUUAACUCAAGUGUUUUUUUAAUUGAUAUUUUUUUUUCUCAAUUUCACCAUUAAACUUUUGAGUUGAUUAUGAAUUAGACUUCAUGAUUUAUUUUAGUUUUUUUUCUAUGAGGUUGUCUCGAUCUCAUGACUCAGGUCAUAUACCUGGCGGGUUAAUCCAAUUGACUCGAGUUUAUUUUUCUUUAACCUGAGCGGGCGUGGAAGGUUAACCUCAGUUGACUUAGAUUAUUUUUUUGCUUAUUUUAUGUGAGAUUAGCUUAAUUUCCUAACUCAAGUCACGAGUUUAGCAGGUUAACUCAUGUCAAAUUUUUUAUUAUUUUUCAAUAACUUUUUAUUUUCAAUUUCAUUCAUUAAUAUUGAGUUGAUUGAAAAUUGAGCUUUAUAAUUUGUUUUGAUUUGUUUUAUAUGAGGUUAUCAUGGUCUCAUGAUUCAGGUUAUGAAUUUGACAAGUUAACUUGGGUUGGCUUAGAUCAAUUCAAGUUACUUUGACAAACCCGCAAAUAAUGCUAUCUUCAUAAAAAGAAAAAAUAAAAGGAAAAGAAAUUAUAAAACUAUUUAAAAAAAAUCGGCGCCAUUGUGUCGAUAAAAAAAUAUUUUAUAAAAUUAAAAAAUUAAUAGAAAACAUGCAUCAGAAGAAAUUGAUUUCCAAAAGGAGUCCUAAAUGUUCUCUUAUUGUAAGAUUGAGUUUUACUUGGCAAAAGCAUAUCUAGGAUGAAAAUGGUGAAUCAAAUGGAUAUACAGAUAUUUGUACAUUCAUAAUAGCAUAAUAGCAUAAUAGCAUAUUUGGUAUUAUUAAAAAAAAAAUUAUAUAAAAAUAUAUUAAAAUAAUAUUUUUUUUAUUUUUUAAAAUUUAUUAUUGACUAGCAUAUUAAAAUGAUCUAAACACAUAAAAAUAAUUUAAAUAAAAAAAAUUCAAAAAAUAUUAAUAAUACUUUUAAAAUACAUAAACGAACUACCCCUAAUUUGAAAACUAUAAUAUGGACUCCACUCUUCAGGUUAGCAAAUUACAGACCUAAUUUUUUAAAAUUUUAAUUUUAAAUGAUAAAAUUAAUAAAAAUAAAUUUCAAAAAAUCACAAUAAAAAAUUCAAAAAAUUAAUAUAAAAAAAUCCGCGGUUUUGUGAAACUGUGGAUUUUGCAUUUUAGCGAUUCCUCGGUGUGAAAUGUGGAAACUGUGGGUGGCCAUGAUAUUAACAUAUCCCUGUUUUCCAAGCCACAAUUUCAAUUGAUAUCAAAUAUAAUGUAUCAAAUAAGUUAAUAAUGUAUUUAAUUUAUUAAAUAUUAUUUUCCCUCCUCAACUUCACAAUUGGGUACAUAAAUUAAGAUUAAAAGCAUUCCGAGAGGCAAAUGAAAAGGUAAAAUUAAAAAAAUAUCUUUUUAGCUUUUAUUUUUUUAAUUAAACCUUCCAACCUAGCAGCCAAAUGAAAAGCCAAAAUAGCUCUUUAAGUUGAGAGAAGCUGUUUCUACAUGUUAUUGUAGAAAUAGCAAAAAACAAAAAGUAACUUUGCCAAUGACUAUUUUUAUAGCCAUUGGUCAACAGUAUUUUCAUUUUCUUUAAAAAUAAGGAAAUAAACUUGUUUUUGUUUUAAAUUUUUUCAAAGCAUGAUUUUUUUUUUAAAAAAAUUGAAAAUCAAAAUUUAAAAUAUUAAUGGUUUUUUCAAAGUUUGAAUUUAAAUUUACUUUUAAAAAAUUAAAUUUUUAACAGUAACAUAUAAAACUGAAAAUUAAAAAUAUUCAUAUAAAUAAAUUUUAAGUUUAAUUUUAAAUUAUAUCUUUUAACUUUCAUAUUAUUUUAUUAAAAUUUAUAUUAUUUUUAUAAAUUACUCAUAUUAAUUAUAUAAUUAAUAACAUCAUAAUUAUAUUAUAUAUAAAAUAUCUAAAUUAGUUACAUAAUUAUAUAAAAAUAAAUUUAACAUAAAAUAUAUUAAAAUAUAAAUGGCUUUUCUAAAUAGCUUUUUACUAUUAAAAUACAUAUAAUAAAAAAACUAUAUUUAUACUAUUUAAAAAACUAUUUUAUCAAUUUAACUUGUUGCUUUAGCUUCUUGGUCAACUACUCAAAAACAAUUAAGGAUUAAAUCGAUCGCUAAUAUUAUAAAGAAAAGAAAAGAAAGAGAACAACCACUUAAACAAGCAAUCCAUGGAGCCAUUGUACAUUAUAAUUAAGAAGACUCAACGACUUCUCCUCCCCACUCAGAAAGCAGAACUCCACUCUUAUCUCAAUCAUUUUUUCCCUAUCAAACACUCCUCACCUCACUCAAAACGAAAAUGGCAGAAGCUUUUGCAGCCGCGAUUACAAAAUCCCUUUUAGGGAAGCUGGGCUCUUUCCCUGUACAAGAACUUCGUUUGGCAUGGGGACUUGAAGAUGACCUUGCACGUCUUGAAGAGAGAUUGAAAGCCAUCAACGCGGUGCUGUCCGAUGCGGAGAAGCAACAAUCAAAGAAUGACAAGAUUCGGCUCUGGCUCCAUAUGCUCAGAGAAGUCUUGUAUGAUGCCGAGGACGUGCUGGACGAAAUCGAGUGCGAAACUUUGCGAAGGCAGGUGGUGAAAACAACAGGGAGCACCAGCAGAAAGGUACGGCGUUCUCUUGGUCUAAGUUCUAAUAAGAUUGCAUUCCGUUUAAGAAUGGGUCAUAAGAUAAAGAAGAUCAUAGAAAGACUAGUUGAGAUUUCAUCUCUUAAGUCUGACUUCAACCUCAGCGAGCAGGCUAUUGAUUGUAGUCAUGUCUUGCAUGAGGAAACAGAGAUGAACCGAUUCUUUGAGAGCUUUUCCGGUCUUAUCGGAAGAGAUGAAGACAAAGAAUGCAUUAUCAGCCUUUUAGAAGCACCUUUUAAGGUUGGUGAUGCACAUCCUCUUGUCCUUCCGAUUGUAGGAAUGGGAGGCUUGGGGAAGACAUCUCUUGCCAAAUCGGUGUGUGAUGCUGAGAAUGUAAACAGUCAUUUUGAUCUGAAUAUGGAGGUAUGUGUUUCAGAUGAUUUUUCCUUGAAACAAGUGAUACAAAAGAUUAUUAAAUCUGCAACUGGGGAAAGAUGUGCGGAUUUGGAUGGGGGUGAACUUAAAAAAAAACUUGAAGAAAUUUUGAAUGGUAGGAAAUACUUGCUUCUUUUGGAUGAUGUUUGGGAUGAAGAUGCUCAAAAAUGGUUGUUGUUGAAGCCUUUGUUAUCAAAAGGUGCAUGUGGAAGUAAGAUCAUAGUAACUACCCGUAGUCAACGUGUUGCUGAGAUUAUGGGUACUGUUCCUGCGCACAACCUAAGUCUUCUCGGUCAGGAGGACUGUCUGUCGUUGUUUUGCAAGUGUGCAUUCAAGGAAGGGCAAAUGGAGUUGAAUCCAAAUUUGGUUGGAAUUGGGAAAGAAAUAGUGGAGAAAUGCAAGCAAGUUCCUCUGGCAGUGAUUAACUUGGGGACUCAACUGUAUGGUAAGACUGAUGAAAAAGAGUGGGAAUCGGUGAGAGACAGUGAGAAGUGGGAAGAAGAGGGAGAUGGCAUUUUACCUGCCUUGAAAAUAAGCUAUCAAAGACUGCCGACUCACUUGAAAAGAUGCUUUCUUUAUUGUUCCGUUUUUCCAAAAGAUUAUGACUUCUUAGAUCUCGAAUUGGUGCAAUUUUGGAUGGCACAUGGGCUCAUUCUUCAAUCAUCAAAUCCAAAUGAGAACUUGGAAGAUGUUGGCUUGCGUUAUAUGCGCGAGUUGAUCUCAAGAUCUUUCUUCCAAGAUUAUAAGGUUGUGAGGAUUGGAGCUUCCUUUAUGAUGCAUGAUUUAAUGCAUGAUCUUGCAUCAUCAUUGGCUCAAAAUGAGUUUUCAAUCAUAAGCUCUCAAAACCACCAAAUUUCCAAAGCGACCCGUCAUCUGACAGUUCUUGACUCUGAUUUAUUUUUUCAUAAAACUCUCCCCAAGUUCCCAAACAACUUCCAUCAAGUGCGGUCAAUAGUCUUUGCAGAUAGUAUUGUGGGGCCUACAUGCAAAACAGACUUUGAGAAAUGUUUGUCACAAUUUAAGCAAUUGCGGUCUUUGGAAUUCAUGGAUGAUUCUGUAUAUGAGGCUUUUCUGGAGAGGAUUGGCGCCUUGAAACAUUUGAGAUAUAUCCAUUUGGGGAGGAACGCAAAAAUAAAAAGACUCCCAAAAUCUAUUUUCAAAUUGCAAAACUUGCAAGCUCUGGCAGUUACAAGUGACGGAUUAGUAGAGCUGCCCAAAGAUGUGAGGCACAUGACCAGCCUUAGAAUUUUAUUUCUAGUUACCCUGCAGAAGCGGUUGCCAGAAGGAGGGAUUGGGUGUUUGGAGUAUCUUCAAACUUUAUUCAUUGUUGCGUGUCAAAAUCUAGAAAAUUUGUGCGAAGAUAUGCAAGGUCUUAAAAGUCUUCGAAAAUUGGUUCAUUGUUGCGUGUCAAAAUCUAGAAAAUUUGUGCGAAGAUAUGCAAGGUCUUAAAAGUCUUCGAAAAUUGGUUGUUACUGGAUGUAAUAGCUUGAUUUCUCUGCCAAGAAGCAUAAAAUGCCUAACUACUCUGGAAGAAUUAUUUAUUAUCAACUGUAAAGAGCUUGAUUUGAGGAUGAUAGAAGAAAAGAAUGAGGAAAAAAUUCAACCUCUUUCCCUUUCCCUACGUAUUGUAAUAUUUGACAUGUUACCAUCAACUAUUGCUUUGCCAGAACAGUUUCUUCUAGGAUCUGCAGAAUCCUUACAAACAUUUAUCAUCAAAAGGUGUCCAAACAUUGGAGAAAUGCCACAGUGCAUCGGCAAUUUAAAAAAACUUCAAAAUCUUGAGAUAAGUGAUUGUCCAAGGUUGAGCAAAAAAUGUCGAAAGGGAACAGGAGAAGAUUGGCCCAAGAUCAAACAUAUCCCUAAAAUCAAGGUUGCUGAUGAUGACAAUGGUGAAGAAACAUCUGAUUAGGUGCGGGUUAUAAGUAUUUAAAUAUAUCAUAUUUAGUUUCACAUUUUUAUCCAUUCUUCAAUUCCUUUUUUUCCUUUUAAAUUCUUUUCAAUGUUUAUUUGACACAACCUCUUGUGGUUUGGAGGGGCAGGUUCAAGUGGAACUCCAUCAGAUUUAACCAGAGCAAAAGAAUAAGAUAAGGCAUGUCGUGGGUGUCAUGAUAAAAUACAAAGUUAACUAAUUCAUUCAACAAUUUAAAUUUCUUUGAACUUAAUACAUCAUUAUUAAAUUCUAUUUUUGUUUAAUUUCUUCAGGUUUACUUUUGUGAGGGUCCUCUCGGCUGAGAUCUUCUACAACAGUUUGUCACUUACGAAGAUCAACUUAAGGCUCGAAGUGUCUGUUUUGUGUAAUUUCCUUGGCUAGCUGUGUGUGAUGACUUGUCAUGAAUCAAUUGAUAAACAUUUGGUUGUUCUGAAUUUUGGUUUGCCUCUGUAUCUUAUUUAAAAUAUUGUGUGUGAUCAUUUAAAUAAUUUUGCUUAACAUAUAAAUUCCUCCUUCUAAACAAACUAAAAAGCUGAAAUAUCAAAGAAACUUCCAUUAGAGGUCUGCGUGACUAGCUAUCAUGCUCAGUAGCUUUUCUAUUCCAGUAAGAAAAAUGGAAAAUCAAAGAAACUUCCAUUAGAGGCAAUCAUAUGUAGGCUUCCAAAAGUUUGCUGCUGCUACCUGCAUAUUGCAACAUCCUGAUAGGUGUAUAGCCUGAAAGCUGCACUAUAAAUGUAAUCUGGUUCUUGAUGGGAAAAUAAACUUACUUUAGUCAUCGAGAAUCAACAACCUAGCUCUAAUCUGAUGGCUUCACUUUCAGUAAUUCCAUUUGAUCUUCCACGGUUUCUGAUCACAGUUAGUAUAUAAAACUCUCAGUCUUUUGAGAUGAUGCACAUCUUACUAACACAAGCACGUACACAUGGAGAGAUGAUUAUGUAAUGGAUACUACAUAAAUGCUGAAGAACAAAAUAAUAAUUACAAAUGUGAUUGGCACUCUAGUUGUCUCAUUAGACUGUAAUUGCAGAAGAGUGUUAGAUACCAUAUGCUGCAAUAACUGUACAGGGCAGUGAAAAUCUAUGGUAACAUGAACUAGCUAGUAACAUUACAUACAUAAGAGUUUUGGCAGCCAGAGUAAUGUAAAUGAUUCUGAUAACUGAACAACAUCAGCUUCAGAACUUCUUCCAUCGCUAAAACAAAAGGUGUUCAAUCACACUUGUAAGUAAUGGGAUACAAAUUAAGAGCUCAAUGUGAAUGAUUUGGAAGUAAUCUGAAAGUUUCCACUGGCCAUCUCAAUUUAUCCAUUACUAGACUGAGUAGUAAUGCAAACAUUUGGAAUAUGCACAAGUACAAAAACUAAUCCAUAUUCAAGUGUUUUUGUCUCUGAGCAAGUGAGAAUAAGAGAGGACGGUUGCUUUGGGGGUUGAGGAAGAGGAAGAUCAUCAUAGUGGGACAAAGGAGCAGGUAGUUUUAGCCUUUUGGGGUUAAUUUAGUUUCACAUCCUUGAACUUUUAUGUUUUUUCUAAUGCAUCCCUCUGUAUAGAUUAUUUGUUUUAAUAUAACCCUCCUCCUAAAUCUAUAUUUAUGGUCCGUUUGGAAACGCGAUCCAAACCGAGUUUCUUUAAAUUUUGAAAAAAAAAUUUACAUUUUCAUAUCAUUUUAAUGUGUUGAUCUCAAAAAUAAUUUUUAAAAAAUAAAAAAAAUUAUUUUGAUGUAUUUAUAAACAAAAAACAUUUUAAACCGCAAUCACUAUCACAAUCCCAAAUAUACCUUAUAAUAUAGCCCUUCUGUCCAGUUUUAGGCAUUUAAUGUACCAUCUUAGGUGAGCAAGAUAGUCCAAGCCAUGUUAACUUUUAUCCGUAUAAAACCCGACAAAAGUUAGGCAUGAGAGGGUCAAUCCAAAUUUGGCUACUUAGUUUCUAAUAAUACAAGUCAUCAACAUAACCCUUCCCAUAGAUGAAGGUGGUCUUGGGAUUAGCUAAUUCUAUGAUGUUUCGACUGCGUAUGAACUCAAGAUUUUAUGGUUUUACAAAUCGGUUUUUCAUCUCAGUUCGGUUUUUUCGGUUAUUCGGUUUUUUUGAACACCCCUAACCACAGUCAUCAAGAAUCUCAAACUUACUACAAUGUCUCAUUCAUGAGUUUCAAAGAUCGAAGGGACAUCCAAUAACAUAUUAAAAGUUUAUAAAUUUUUAUACUCUAUUUUUCAUUAAAAUUUGAAAUUUCUUUGCUUAAAUAAAUUAUUUUUUUAUUUUUAAUUUUUUUUAAUAUAUAACUGAUAAAAAAAAUAUUUUAAUAUAUUUUAAAGUAAAAAUUAAUACCUAACACACUUCAAAACCACCCCUUGAUCCUAACCAAUUUUUAUAAAACUGUUUUUUCAUUUUUUUUCAAACAAACAUUACCGCCGCGUACCUCGCCAUAAAAACAAGUGACUCAUCGACACAACCACAGCCACCGCCAUCUUCUUGCAAAAUAAAAUGACCCUCAAACAAAACUUCUAGCUUCCUAUAACUAGAAAAACCGAACUUUUAAUUAACACUAACAGCAGCCACUAGCAGCGCCGCCUUCCCUAUCUAUACCACCACAACCACCCCGACUCCUUCCCUAACAAGCUUUAAUUUAGCAUUAGUGACUUGAAUUUGUAUCAUCACUAUCCAGAUAUUCCUUGCGCAAAAGACAAGGAGUGCUCCUUUUUGUUUCGUUCAUGUCAUUUUCCUUGCUUCUAGGCCAAGAUUUAAAGCUAUUCCCCUCCACAUAUUUGCCUUAUCUCAACUAUCAUUCAUUCCAAGAAAUGGACAUUCUCUGUCAUCUUCACCUUCACUGUUAUCCCCUCAACCUUCUUGUUUUUAGCACUCAAAAUCUUUGCUGGAAAAUCUAUCAACAAUCCCAACUAUCCACCAGUUAAAUGCACAAACUUUAACCAACUUCUCCGCUUCGACAGGCUCUAUGGCUGCCAAACUGAGCUUAUCGUUUCUAACUCUGGAGUGUAUUGUGUAUUCAUUGAUAGUGUAUAUGGAUUUCUUUUAUAUAUAUAAAUCAAGUAUUGAACAUGAAAUCAAAGAAAAAAUAGCUUAGGCGGUCUCAUCAAACUAUAGAUGAAAGAUCUAUACUCACCAUUCGGAAAUUCAUUCACGACUAGGCUAUAAAUAGAUCUUCAAGAGAGAUAAAAUAGAAAGCUAAUAGAACCAUCUAAAAAUAUAAAGCAAGAUUUAUCUUAAGUGGGAUAGAACAAAAGAAGAGAGCUUGAAUUUGAUGAUCUGUAGGUAUUUAAUUCACUCUUGCCUUUUGUCUUCUUGUCCGUCUUUGACUCUGAAAGCACUCUACAGAUGGAUGAAGAUGGAAGAUACAAUUGAAAAGUAGAAUCUAGACUCCACACUCUUUUAGCAAAUUAAAAAGCUAUUUUUAAAAAAAAAUUAAUUUAAUUUUUUUUAACAAAAAUAGAUUUAAAAUAAAUCAUAAUAAAAAUUCAAAAUUUUUUUUAUAAAUUACUUUUUAAUUCACGGUACAAUAGGUAUUGGAUAAACAAUGAUUUUCUCUGUAUCCUUGAAAUAUGAAAGGAGAGGAAGAUGCUGCUGAUUAGUAAAUGACGUCAAUUAUAUGAAUACUCCAUCACCUAAUUAAAAAAAAAAGUCUCACUUCCCCACACAAAUAGCAUCCCAAGUAGCCAUUCAUAAUUUACAACGACAAAUAUAGCAAGCAAAAAACUAUUUAGAAGCUACAAUUUCUGUGUUGCUUUCAACUUUGCUUUCAUGGUUUUUUUCAUAAUUUUCUAAUUUAGUAUAUUUUAUAUAUUAUUGAAUUGUUGUAUUUUACUUUUAUAAUACGUCUAGUAGAAUAUUUACAUCUGCUUAUGAAAAACUUAAAAAGAAGGAGAAAAUUGAUAGUUUGAUUCACUUGUCAGUUCUUGAUUCAUCAAACUCUUCCAAAGUCCCCAAAUGAGUUCGAGUUCGAGCAUGUGUGGUCACUAUUCCAUGGGAGAAGCUACGACACAAUUGCAUAACUCUAAAUUAUUAGCAACUACUUGUAAAUUUAUUCUUUUUGACUUUUCGUCCCUUAAUUUUGUGAUCAAGAAGACUCAACGACUUCUCCUCUCCACUCAGAAAGCGGAACUCCACUCUUAUCUCAAUCAUUUCUGAGAAGAGAUUGAAAGCCAUCAACGCAGUGCUGUCCGAUGCUGAGCAGAAACAAUCAAAGAAUGACAGGAUUCGGUUCACAAAAGUCUUGCAUGAUGCUGAGGACAUGCUGGACGAAAUCGAGUGCAAUCUCUGUGUUGCCUGCUGCGUCAAUUUGCUUUCAACUUUUAUUUCAUGGUUUUUUUUCUUAAUUUUCUAAUUUAGUAUAUUUUAUAUAUUAUUGAAUUGUUGUAUUUUAUUUUUAUAAUACGUCUAGUAGAAUAUUUACAUCUGGUUAUUAAAAACUUAAAAAAGAAAAAAGAAAAAAUGAUAGAAUAUCCCUACUAAACGUAUUUUUUAAAUAAAUUUUUUUUUAAAGGACUGGUUUUUAUUGUUUUACAUCCUAAAAGGUAUAAUUUAACUGAUUAGACUUUUAAUUUGCUUCUCUGAGAUUACUAGUUUAAGUUCUACAAACCUCAGGGCUACUGGAAAUUUACAUGGUUAUUAAUUUUAAGGUCUCGAGAGAUUACUCAAGGUACGCAUAAGCUAACUCGGACACUCAUAGUAAAAAAAGAAAAAACAAGAAGAGGAAGGAAGGAAGGGCUAAAGGAGUUGUAUCCAAAUUUGGUUGGAAUUGGGAAAGAAAUGGUGGAGAAAUGCAAGCAAAUUGCUUUGGCAGUGAUUAAAAUCACAUGAGGACUCAACUUUAUGGUAAAAGUGAUGAAAAAAGAGUGGGAGUCGGAGAGAGAGAGAGAAGACGAGGGAGAUCGUAUUUUACUGCUUUGAAACUAAGUUACCGAAGACCACCGACACAAUUGAAAAGAUUAUGAGGAAGCAAUUUCCUUGGAUACCUCUAAAAUGCAUGAUCUUGCAUCAUCAUUGGCUCAAAAUGAGUUUUAAUUCAUAAGCUCUCAAAACUACCGAUUUAAUUUCCAAAACGACCCGUCAUUUGUCAGUUACUGAUUCCAUUUCAUUUUUUCAUCAAACUCUCCCCAAGUCCCCAAAUGAGUUCGACCAUGUGUGGUCAAUAUUCCAUGGGAGAAGCUACAACACAGUUGCAUCACUUUAAAAAUAAACUUCAAUUUAAAUAUUAUUAUUAUUGUUAAUUUAUGUGUUAAAUUGUGAAUUAGCGAAUAAUUUAAAUUUUGAUUUUGAGUGAAUUUAAUUAAUUAAAUCUGCGCCAUUAUGUCAAUAAAAAAAUAAUUAAAAAAAAUAUAAAAAAAUUCAAAACUUUUUAAUAACAUUUUUAAAACAUAAAAACCAACUAUCUUUGGAUUUGAUACCAAUCUUGUGGCUGGCCCAAAUAUAUGAUAGUUGUAAAGAUUUUCAGAUAGAAUUUGGAGCUGGUGGCUGUACAUCUUUGGCUUAGAAAGCACUUCUAUUAUAGCAUUCUACAGAUGGAUGAAGAUGAAAGAUACAAUUGAAAACUAGAAUAUGGACUCUACACUCUUUAGGUUAGCAAAUUACAGACCUAAUUUUUUAAAAUUUUAAUUUAAAAUGAUAAAAUUAACAAAAAUAAAUUUUAAAAAAUCAUAAUAAAAAUUCAAAAAAAAAAAUAGAUCUUUCUAUUAUAAUCCACGGUGCAAUAAGUGUUGGGUGAACAAUGAUUCCUUUCAUAUUCUUUAAUUUUUGUUAUUUCAUAAAGUUUAACAACAUGAUUUUUCACCAAAACUAUUUUUUUAAUAAUAUAAAAUUUUUUUAUAAAAAGCCAAGUGCAAUUAAAAAAAACCCAUCAAAUUCAUAAACUAGGAUAAUCUGAGUUAUUUCGACAAACUCAUAAUUCAUGUUAACCUCGUAAAAAAACAAAAUAAAAAAAAAACAAAUUACAAAAUUAAACUCUUAACCAUCUCACUAUUAUAAAAUAAAAUCAGCUAAAAUAAUUUUUUUUUUAAAUCCUAACAAUAAAAAAAUAUAAAAAAAUAUUAUAGCAAUCCGUGGUUUUGUAAAAAAAAAUUAAAGUGAUUUUCCUAAUUCAUCUGCACAUAUUUAAUCCAGAUAUGAUUAAAACUAGAAACUAACUCGAUUUUUUUGCGACAGCAGGUCGCCUAAGAAUAUGGUCAAAUAUGCGUGACUGUGUACAUUUUACAUGUAUAAAAGUAAACGGACCCACGCAGGUCCCUGUGUUUCAUGAUGUAGGCUGAACCUGUCAACACGUUAGAUGGAGGAUGCCUGCUGAUUAGUCAAUGAAGCCAAUUUGGUCUGUUUGCUCUGUUUGGUCUUUGCAAAAGUUAGGAAGUGCACCCAAAUUCUACGAACCCGUCCACAAACCAUUUAGAGUAAAAAAAUAAAAUAAAAAAUAAAAAAAGGGCAAACAAUGGUCAAAGAUGCGGGUCCAAGCCAAAAAAGUGCACCGGCUAAGCUCCUUUAAUGAAAUGGGCGCAUUUGGUGCAGCGGUAAGAGCACAUUAAUUCCACCAAAAAGAACUUUUAAAAUUAAAAUAAAUAACAAUGGUCAAAGAUAAGGGUCCAUGCCAAAGACAAUAAUUCAAACACAUAUCAGAAAAUAAGGCUUUUUUUUUUUUAGUGUAGGGCAUUUUUAUGAAGUUUUUUUUUUAAAAAUAUAUUAAAAUAUUGUUUUUUCUUUAUAUUUUUCCAUUAAAAUAUUUAUAAAAUACUAAAAAUAUUUUUUUAAAUUUUUUAAAAAAAUACUCAAAAUUUUAGAAAAACCGAUCGAAUUACUCUCCUCAACAAAGCUUAAAAUAGGUAAUGCUUUUACUAUUCAACCUCAUAAAAAAACUAUUCAUUUCAACAUCAUAAAACACUCAUCAAAUGUAUAAAAAUAAAACAACCUUAAAUGUAUAAAAAUAAGAUAACUUGUGCUAUUUCGAUAAGUCCACAAAUCAUACUAAUCUCAUAAAUAAAAAAAUAAAUAAAAAGAAAUUACAAAAUUAAAAUUUUAAUUAUCUCAAUAUUAAAAAAAUAAAACAAGUAAAAAUAAUUUUCAAAAAAUUAUAAAGAAACAAACUAUAUGAAAAGAAAUCACAUAAAAAAAGCCGAUGGAAAAAAACAUUGUAACAGUACAAUACCUUUCCCAUUCAUAUUUUGUAAUAAGGGUGUCUGUGUACAUUUAUUUGUAUAAAAGCAAAGGGACCCGCGUAGGUCCAUGUGUUUCAUGUUUGAAAGUAAGUUACCUAAGACUGCCGACAGCCUUGAAAAGAUGCUUUCUUUAUUGUGCCAUUUUUUUCAAGAUAUUAUCAGUUAUAGGAUGUUAAAAAUAAUUUUUAUAAAAUAAAAAAAAAUAUUAUUUUAAUUUACUUUAAACUAAAAAAUAUUUUAAAAAAUAAUUAUUCUUCUUCUCCUUUUAGUUCAUACAAUUUUGGAUGGCACAUGCAUUCAAUCAUCAAUCCAAAAAUCCAAAUGAUAGCUUGAAAGAUGCUGUCUUGUGUUAUGUGCGCGAGUUGAUCUCAAGAUGUUUCUUCCAAGAUUAUGAUGAUUUACCUUUUUUUUUUCUCAAGCUUUAAAAUGCACGAUCUUGCAUUAUCAUUGGCUCAAAAUAAAUGUUCCUGACUCCAUUUCAUUUUUUCAUCAAACUAAUCCAAAGUCCCCAAAUGAGUCCGACCAUGUGUGGUCAAUAUUCCAUGGGAGAAGCUACAACACAAUUGCACUACUUGUAAAUUUAUUCUUUUUGACUUUUCAUUCCUUAAUUUUAUGAUCAAGAAGACUCAAACGACUUCUCCUCUCCACUGUUCUCUCAAUCAUUUCUUCCUAUCAAACACUUCUCCCCUCACUCAAAAAGAAAAUGGCAGAUGCUUUUACAGCCGAGAUUGCACAAUCCCUUAUAGGGAAGUUGACAUUGCUCGUCUUGAAAAGAGAUUGAAAGCCAUCAACGCAGUGCUGUCCGAUGCUGAGCAGAAACAAUCAACCAAUCACAAGAUUCGGCUCUGGCUCAACGAUCUCACAGAAGUCUUGCAUGAUGCUGAGGACAUUCUGGACGAAAUCGACUGCGAAACUUUGCGAAGGCAGGUGGUGAAAACAACAGGGAGCACCAGCAGAAAGGUACGGCGCUUCUUUUCAAGCUCUAAUAAGAUUGCAUUCCUUUUAAAAAUGGGUCAUAAGAUAAAGAAGAUCAUAGAAAGACUAGCUAAGAUUUCAUCUCUUGAGUCUGAGUUCCACCUCAGCGAGCAGGCUAUUGAUUGUAGCCAUUUCUCGCAUGAGGAAACAGAGAUGAACCGAUCCUUUGACAGCUUUUCCGGUCUUAUUGGAAGAGAUGAAGACAAAGAACGCAUCACCAGCAUUUUAGAAGCACCUUUUAAGGUUGGUGGUGCACAUCCCCUUGUUCUUCCGAUUGUAGGAAUGGGAGGCUUGGGGAAGACAUCUCUUGGCAAAUCGGUGUGUGAUGCUGAAAAUGUAAAAAGUUAUUUUGAUCUGAAGAUGGAGGCAUGUGUUUCAGAUGAUUUUUCCUUGAAACAAGUGAUACAAAAGAUUAUUAAAUCUGCAACUGGGGAAAGAUGUGCGGAUUUGGAUGGGGGUGAACUUGAAAAAAAUCUUGAAGAAAUUGUGAAGGGUAAGAAAUACCUGCUUCUUUUGGAUGAUGUUUGGAAUGAAGAAGCUCAAAAAUGGUUGUUGUUGAACACUUUGUUAUCAAAAGGUGCUGCUGGAAGUAAGAUUAUAGUAACUACCCGUAGUCGACGUGUUGAUGAGAUUAUGGGUACUGUUGCUCCGCACAACCUAAGUCUUCUUGGUCAGGAGGACUGUCUGUCGUUGUUUUACAAGUGUGCAUUCAAGGAAGGGCAAAUGUAUCCAAAUUUGGUUGGAAUUGGGAAAGAAAUAGUGGAGAAAUGCAAGCAAGUUCCUCUGGCAGUGAUUAACUUGGGGACUCAACUGUAUGGUAAGACUGGUGAAAAAGAAUAGGAAUCGGUGAGAGACAGUGAGAAGUGGGAAGAAGAGGGAGAUGGUAUUUUACCUGCCUUGAAAAUAAGCUAUCAAAGACUGCCGACUCACUUGAAAAGAUGCUUUGUUCUGUUUUUCCAAAAGAUUACUUGUUCCGAGAUCUCUUAAUGGUGCAAUUUUGGAUGGCACAUGGGCUCAUUCUUCAAUCAUCGAAUCCAAAUGAGAAGUUGGAAGAUGUUGGCUUGCGUUAUGUGCGCGAGUUGAUCUCAAGAUGUUUCUUCCAAGAUUAUGAGGUUAGGGCAUUUAUAGCUACCUUUAAGAUGCAUGAUUUAAUGCAUGAUCUUGCAUCAUUAUUGGCUCAAAAUGAGUUUUCAAUCAUAAGCUCUCAAAACCACCAAAUUUCCAAAACGACCCGUCAUUUGACAGUUCUUGACUCUGAUUCAUUUUUCCAUCAAACUCUCCCCAAGUUCCCAAACAACUUCCAUCAAGUGCGGUCAAUAGUCUUUGCAGAUUGGAUAAUGGGGCCUACAUGCAAAACAAACUUUGAGAAAUGUUUGUUAGAAUUUGAGGAUUUUCCAGAGAGGAUUGGCGCCUUGAAACAUUUGAGAUAUAUCCAUUUUGGAAGGAACCCAAAAAUAAAAAGACUCCCAAAAUCUAUUUUUAAAUUGCAAAACUUGCAAGCUCUAGUUACAGGUGAAUGAUUAGAAGAGCUGCCCAAAGAUGUGAGGUACAUGAUCAGCCUUAGAUUUUUAGAUCUAACUACUCCGCAGAAGCAGUUGCCAGAAGGUGGGAUUGGGUGUUUGGAGUGUCUUCAAACUUUAUUAAUUACUAAUUGUGAAAAUCUAGAAAAUUUGUGUGAAGAUAUGCAAGGUCUUAAAGGUCUUCGAAAAUUGCUUAUUGGUGCAUGUGAUAGCUUGAUUUCUCUGCCGAGAAGCAUAAAAUGCCUAACUACUUUGGAAGAAUUAUUUAUUAUCUACUGUAAAAAGCUUGAUUUGAUGAUAAUAGAAGAAGAGAAAGAGGGAAAAAUUCAACCUCUUUCCCCUUCCCUUCGUAUUGUACUAUUUGUGGCGAUACGAGCAACUAUUGCUUUACCAGAACAGUUUCUUCAAGGAUCUGCAGAAUCCUUUCAAACAUUUAUCAUCAGAGACUGUCCGAACAUUGAAAAAAUGCUAGAAUGCAUCGACAAUUUAAAAAAACUUCAAAAUCUUGAGAUCGGUGAUUGUCCAAGGUUGAGCAAAAGGUGCCGUAGGGAAACAGGAGAAGAUUGGCCCAAGAUCAAACAUAUCCCUAAAAUCAAGGUUGACAAUGAUGACAGUGGUGAAGAAACAUCUAAUUAGGUACGGGUUAUGAGUAUUUAAAUAUAUCAUAUUUAGUUUCAUAUUUUUAUCCAUUCUUCAAUUCCUUUUUUUCCUUUUAAAUUCUUUUCAAUGUUUAUUUGACAAAACCUCUUGUGUUUUGGAGGGGUGGGUUCAAGUGGAACUCCAUCAGAUUUAACCAGAGCAAAAGAACAAGACAAGGCAUGUCGUGUCAUGAUAUAUAAAAUGUAAAGUUAACUAAUUCAUCCAGCAAUUGAAAUUUCUUUGAGCUUAAUACAUUAUUAUAAAAUUCUAUUUUUGUCUAAUUUCUUCAGGUUUACUACUGUGAGGGUCCUGUCAGCUAAGAUCUUCUUCAACAGUUUGUCACUUACGAAGAUCAGCUUAAGGCUCGGAGUGUCUGCUAUGUGUAAUUUCCUUGGCUAGGUGUGUGUGAUGAUUUGUCAUCAAUAAAUUGAUAAACAUUUGGUUGUUCUGAAUUAUUGGCUUGUCUCUUUAUUUUAUUCAACUUAUUUUAUUUAAAAUAUUGUUAAUUUUAUGAAGUUAAUUUUAUUAUUAUCACUAUUUUUAAUUUAUGUGUUAAUUUGUGAUUUAGUGAAUAAAUUAAAGUUUUGAUUUUGAGUGAAUUUAAUUAAUUAAAUUCGCAAAGAGGGUAUUGAAAUCAUGUAGAGAAUGAAGGAUUUUAUGUGAAAGCUAGGCAAUUUUUUUUUAUUUGCUUGUGCACGUUUGUUUAUUUUCGAUUUUGAAGAAUUUAUGUCUGUUUCGUAGGCUAAUUUUUUGGAUUAGGUAUAAUGUAGAUAUGUUGGAUCUAUCUUGCUUCUUAUACUGAACCUAUGAUAUUUCAGUGAUUUGAUUCUUCCAAUAAAGUCGACGAUUGCAUUAGGAGAAUCUCUAUGAUGUUCUCUGAUGAAUGUGAAACAUCCCCUUACCAUACCUUCUUUAUAAUGUUAGAAAAUUUUCUAGUUUUUAGAAACUUCAUGGAUGCUUGUGAUAGAUGACUUGAUAUAUUUCUAUUUGCAUAUUAUUAAAAUAUUUCUCAAAUUAAUCUCCCAUUAUUGAAGUUAACCUAACUCUAAUUACAUCUUCAUUCUAAUUCGGACAAUUAACGGAACUUAUCCUUGCAAACCAGGAGAGAAGGGAGGACUCAAGUUUGAUGGAUUCCUAAUGCCAAAGUAAACUAAAAACUCAACAUUUUGUCAUAAAAAUAGGGUUUUAGAUCUCUGUUAUAUUUGUCUACUCUACCUGAGGCAAGCAACACUCUUGCAAACUUUGACGUCGCCGCCUGAAAAAAAAUAAAAUACCACCGCUUACUACUAACAGCAACCAUUGACGUCGCCGCCUUCACUCUCUAGACCACCACAACCACCUCCUACUCUUUCGUUGAUAAAUUCACCUCUUUACAUCCACUUUCCAAAUCUUCUUUAUUUAUGUUAUUAUAGCACAAUUUUUAACCCUUCUUAAAUAUCUAAAAAAUAUAUUUUAACGAGAAAAAAAUAUUUCAGUUAACAAAUAUUUCAAAAAAAAAAAACAAGAAAAAAACAGAGAAAAAUUACUAUCAGUGGGGAGAUUGAAAGUCGUUAAAUAAUUGAAAAUUGGAAAGCUAAGGACCAAUUUGAAAAACACAUCAAUAUUUAAGGACUAUAUGUAAUGCAAUCAAGAUGAAGUUGAGAAAAAAUAAAGAAAAAAGGGUUGAAAUUGGAUAAAAAUAAAACAAUUAAAUAUGCAAGAACCAAACUUGAAAAGACACCAAACUUAAGGGACCUUUAAGAAAAAGAAAUUUUGCUGCAAUUCAAAACGUUGUCAUUUUGAAUUAAAAAAACAAAACUUAAAUGCAACCGUGUUAUUCUAUCAAUAAACAAAUAUGUUAAAAAAAUUGACAAAGGAAUAGAAAAAAUGCAUAAGAAAUUACAUUAUAACAUAUAUUAAAAUUGCUCUGUGUUUCACUGUGCACUGUGCACUGCACAGUGCAGUCCGCAGUAAAAAACUAAAUUAUUUUUUUAAAAAAAUAAAAAAAAAUUUUUGUUUUGUUUUUUUAUGCCUUUAUGAGUUUUUUUUUUGCUUUUUUUCUUUGUGUUUUUUUCUUUUAAUAGAUUUUUUUUGUUUAAUUUAGUUUGUUAAUGUUAAGUUUUUUUUUUAAUUUAGUUAUCAGACUUUCAUGACACGAAGCCCUAGUUUGACGGGUUAACCUGGUUUGACAAGUUAACUCAGAAUUUUUUUUUGCUUUUUUCUUUUUAAUUAAUUUUUUUCAUUUAGUUUAGUUUGUUAAUGUUAUAUUUCUUUUAUUUAAUUAUCAGAUUUUUAUGACACGUAUCCCAGACUUGAUGGGUCAACCCAGUUAUUUCUGGGUUAACCCAUCAAUUUUUUUUCUAUUUAGUUAUCAAACUUUCAUGACGCGAAUCCUAGGUUUGACGGGUUAACCUGGUUUGAAGGGUUAACCUAGUUGAUUCAAUUUUUUUUUCUUUUUCUUCAUUAGUUUUUUUCUUGUUGUUGUUUUUUUUUAUUUGUUUUUUUUUAAUUAAUCUAUUUAAUUAUCAUAUUUUUAUAACACGACCUUACAACUAGAUCUACAUCCAAGCCUAUUGGAUCUGAUAUUGUAGCCAAACCCACUUAAACUUGAGUCAUGCAAACUUAAUGUUAUUAUUAAUAUUAUAAGUAUUACUCCUGGGUCAGGCAUUGCAGUCAAACCCUAGACUCUUGGAUAUAAUUUGCAAAAAGACAUAACACUUUAAAAUCUUAGCUUUUUAUUUUUAUUUUUUUAAUGCAAAAAUAAUUGACCCGCGGCAUCGCGAGGGUCAUGUAACUUGUAAUAUACUAAAGUUGUGAAUAUAUCCAUGGACUUUAUAAAGUUUAAUAAUUUUUUUUUCUGAAACUAUUUUUUAAAACUAUAUAAGAAAAAAAAAUAAACGUUAAAAAAGUUAAGUUUAAUUAAAAAAAUAGUCCACCAAACUCGUAAAUUAAGACAACCUGAGUUACCAUAACAAAUCAUACUAAUCUUAUAUAAAGGUAAAAAAAAAUUCAUGAUUGUUUUCCAUCAAUAGCAAGUUUUAUAUUUUAAUCUAUUUUUUUUAUAAGAUGUAAAUGCAAAUUUCGUGAUUGUUUUUCAUUAAUAGGAGGACUUUUUAUUCUAUUUUUCUAUUAUAUUUUUAAAUCUGGUUUUUAACCUAAAUAAAAUUAAUUAGCAUCAUCACUAUCAUAAUUAAAAACUCUUGAGAAAGUUCAUAAGAUAGGAUAGGUCAUGAUCAUCUUUGAUCUGUGUUGCAUCUCAGAUUCUGAGAGAGACAUCACUUGCUUUUCUACCAGGAUUGUUUAUGCUAUUGUGCUUACUGCUUAGGAAGUUCUAAGUAAAGGAUAGAUUCUUUAGAAGAUUUUUUCCAAAGUAAGUAAAGGAUAAAUUUUUAAUUUUUUUUUCUUUGUUUUUUCUGCCUGGCCAUGCUCCAAAGAAAAUAUUUUAGGACUAGUUUGGGCCAUGGCCCUAACACUACUGGGCCCGUAGCCUAUUAAAACUCUGAAAAAUCCAUGAAUCCAAUAUCCUAGCAAAACCUUGAUAAACUCUCAUUGUUACCCUUUUUAUAUGGUUUUGUUGUGUAUAUUGUUUUUGAGAGUAUAAUAAUUAUUAUUUUAAAGUAUUUUUUAAAAUAUAUAUUAAAAUAUAUAUUUUUUAUUUUUUAAAAUUUAUUUUAACAAUAUUAUAUUAAAAUGAUAAAAAAAUACUAAAAAAUAUUAAUUUGAAGUAAAGAAAAAAAUAAAAAUAAAAUUUAAAUUUUUUUAAAAUGCUUGUGAAUUAAAAAAGAAACAAGGCCUAAAUAAUCAAAUAAGUUAAGAAUGUACUUGAUUUGUUAAACAAUAUUUUCCCUCUUCAGCAGCUUGAGAUUUGGGUAUAUAAGUAAAGAUUAAGUAAUAACAUCAAGGGUGGAAUUAUGAUUCAACCCUAAUUUAAUUUAAUUAAAAAGAUAUACAAAAUCAAAACAAAUUUAAUUCAUAUCAGUAUCGGCUAAGCUCCUUUAAUGAAAGCACAUAAAUUCCACCAAAAAAAACUUUUAAAAUUCAAAUACAUUUCAAUGGUCAAAGAUAAGGGUCCGUGCCAAUGACAAUAAAUCAAGCACAUAUUAGAAAACAGAUGCUUACAAAAUUAAAUAUUAAUCUAAAAAUAAAUAUUUAUUUAAUAUGAUUAUAUUUAGAAAGCAAACAAAAAUUAAUAACGCAGUCCAUUUCUCCACCAAUCCAAUAUUAAAUGAUAAAAUUGAGAAGAAAUAAAUUAAAAGAUAAAAAAAAACAUAUUAUAUCGGUGGGUAAACUUGUCAAACCUAUGAACCGUGUAAGCCAGGCUAGUACGUCAAACCUAUAAACUGAGUUAUAGACUCCACUAGGAUUAUAAAAAAAAUUGUAAUCUAUUUUUUAUUUAACUAUACAAAUAACAAAAAUAGAUGAUUAUAAAAUCAAAUACAAUCCCAAUAAUGAGAUGUUUUUUAGAUAACGAUAACCUCAUAAAAGGAAAAACUAAACCAAUUAUGAAACUAAAUUCCCAAUUAAUUUAGUAUCUAAGGAUGAAAAAAAUAAUAAUUUAAAAAAGUUAAACUUGCUAGACUCGCGAACCAAGUCAAUCAACUAAACCUGUGAAUAGACCCACAAACUUUAUAAAGUUUAAUAACAUAACUUUUUUCUAAAACUUUUUUUUUUUUAACUAUAUGAGAAUAAAAUAGAAGAUAAAAAAAUUUAAGUUCAAUUAAAAAAAACUAAACCUGUAAAUCAAGGCAACCAGGGUUACCAUAGCAAACCCGCAAACCAUGCUAACCUUAUAGAAUGGUAAAAUAAAAAGAAACAAAUUUUGAAGCCAAAUUCUUAAUCAUCUCAAUAUUAAAAGAUAAAAUUAACAAAAACAAAUUAAAAAAAAUCAUGAUACAAAUUCAAAAACAUAAAUGUCGCACCCUCACAGAGGAGUGCGGCGACCCUGGAUUGAUUUUGGUUGUUUUUUUGUUUUGUGUAAAGGAGCCGCCACCUAGUAUUUUGAUCACUAGGAAUCCUAACUAGUCUUUUAGAGAUUCUAAGACAAGGGACUGGUUGUGUAAAGGGAAGGUAUUAGCACCCCUAGUACGCCAUACCUAAGGUAAGUUGCUUGGUGUUUGGUUUGUUUUAUAAUUGCUAUGGUGUUGGUAUUUUCUAAUCCCAUCAGUUUUUCUAGGUUUGAUUCAAACUAAAUUUAUUAAGAUAGAAAUCCAAGGAGAUUCCAUGUGCUUUAAUAGCUCAUUUUUCCCUUAGUAUUUCAAGAGUUUGCGACUCGUAAAUCGCGAGGAGGGAAAAAAAUUUAGAAAUCUAGGGCGCUUAAAAAAAAAACAUAUUUUUGCCUUAGUGUUUUAUACUCUCACGACUCGUAAACCGUGGAGUAAAAAAUUGAAAUGUCCUCGAUUAUAAUCAAGGCUUCUUUCAAGGAUGUGUGAAGAUUUAUUAUUCCUAGAAAAUUAUUUUGGAUAUUUACCACUCAGGGUUUCUUUAUCCAAAUAUUAACAGUGAAUAGUAACAAAUUAUUCCCAAUAAUAUUUUGGAUAUUCGUCCUUUAAGGAUUUCUUUAUCCAAACAUUAGCGGUGAAUAAUCGAUGAAUUCCCCCCAAAAUAAGAUUUUUAUAUUUUUUGGAAUAUUGACCAAUACUUUUUAUAAUUUUACAAACAUGUUAUAAAAACUUCGAAUAUUUUUUGUAUAUAAAACAAAUAUUUAAAACAUGUUAGGGUAUUGGCCGUAAGCAACACACAAGAAAACAUUUUUUUUUAAACAGGAAUAACACGAUUACACAAACAUCACAAAAAAAUAUUCGCCUAUUCCAAAAUUCACAAGAAGCUUAAAACAAUUCAUCUCAAAUAAAUAAGGUUCGGGACACCAAUUUAAAACACAAGUCAGUGUGCACAAAAAAAAAAAAAAAAAAAAGUCCUAAAGCUAAAAAAAAAUUACAACAUGAACCGUGACCCCCCCUGCAAACUCAAAAAAAAAAAAAAAAACAAAGAAGAAAGUGUGUGAACCCAGAAUUGGCAUAAAAAAAGAAUCCUUAACUGAAAAAAGGGACCCUCCCUCACGUUUUUUCAAACUCUCUCUUCUGUACCUAAACACCUGUUUCUAUAUAGCGUUCCAUUGCAAGAAAACACUUGAGCGAAGGGAGAAAGGGAUGGUGGAGACUCUUAAAGCUCACAGUUUCUCAUGACCAGGGAGUAAAACACAAAAACGCAGCUUUAACAAUGAUAAUAAACUAAACUCAAAGACAGUGGGCAAGCAAGCCAUUUUGUUGCUAAGAUGGCUAAGAUGGAAAAUGAACGUCCCCGAAACAAAAAUAGAAACAGAUUUUUUUUUGAAAAAAAACCAAAUAAAUAGCUUUAAAUAUGUCAAAGAUGAAGGAAGUCGAGACUCAUACCUGCAGAUCCUGCACGUUUCAAAUGCAGAAGAUAAGACACAAACCGAUGGAAAAGCUUUUGCCUUUUGCCUCUGAAAAACCAAAGAAAGACUUCCUCUUUUGUUCUCUUGGCUUUUCUAGUUUUACUGUCGCCUGCCUCUAUUUUCUCCUCUCUGUUUUUUUCUCUUAAACAGUGAUGAAAGGAUCAAAGAAAGAACCCCUAUAUUCCCCUGUUAUCUGCGUUUUUUCUCCUUGCCUCUCUUGCAUUUUUCUUUUCUUUCUUUUGCUGUUUUUUCCUGCUCUUCUCUCCGGUGUUUCUCCCUUUUUUCCUAGGUCAUUAGAUGGGCUUAUAUAGUCUAACAUAUCUCUAUUUAGGAAAGAUUUAAUGCAUUAAUUCUAGAAUGCAAAUCCCUACUGAUCGGCAGUAAAAAAAAAAACGCAAAAGGAAACUAAAAUAUCCUGAUUCUAAUGUCUGAUUUCUUUCCAGUUUUUUAGAGGAUAGUGUGGCUUCUUUCUUUCCUUCAAUAGGUUCAGCUGCUCCCUUUGAAAUGAGGCAAUAAAACGUGGUUGCAGCUCCAAAAAUCAGGUGUGAUGAUAAAGGAAAACAUUAGGAAUUUGCAGAGAAAAAAGGAAAGAACUCAACCGGGAAGGUUUGUGUAGGAAAGAAAUGAAACGGGGGAGGGGUUGUUCUCAAAAUAACAAUCGUAAAAAUGAGAGCAAAACGUGAUCAACUCCCCUAUCUAGCUUUCAAUAUCCUUCUUCAAUUAAAUCCCUCAUUUUAGCACUUUUCGAUUUAGUCCUUGGUCCAAAAAAAUCCUUCGAAUCAGUCCUGCAAACUUGGGCUAAACCCUUUCUGCGGUAGGAUCCUCUGCUUCCACAUUCAAACAGGAAUAUAUUGAGCUUCUGAUAUCAAAAUCAAGUGAUUCAAAAGUCCAAAUUUAUCUACGCGUCUAGGACUACAACUUUGAUAAAGGAGUCGAAGUGAGAUAAAAUCAUUUUAGAGAACAGAAUCUGGCAGUAAUCUAGUUGAUCAAAAAGGAUCUCCGGGUCUAAUUUAGAAACUGACAAUGUUGAGAAUCUUGAUAUGACUGAGAAUAUGAUCUAAGAACAAAUCAAUAAAAUUUUUGAUGAAAAUAGAGUUUUUAGUGCAAAACUCAGGUUAGGAUCCUUCUCGCGGCAGAAUUCUCUACCUUUACGUUAGAACUUCAAACGAGAAUAUCUUGAGCUUAUGAUAUCGAAAUCAAGCAAUUCAAAAGUCCAAAUUUAUCUACAUGUCGAGGACUACAACUUUGAUGAAGGAGUCAAAGUGAGAUAAAAUCGUUUUAGAGAACAGAAUUUGGCAGUAAUCUGAUUGGUAAAAAAAAGGAUCUCCGAGUCUAAUUCAAAAACUGACAAUGCUGAGAAUCCUAAAAUGACUGAGAGUAUGAUUUAAGAACAAAACAACAAAAUUUGUGAUGAAAAUAGAGUUUUUUUAGUGCAAACCUAGGGUCAGGAACCUUCUCGCGGCAAAAUUCUCUACCUUCAUGUUAGAUAUUAAAACGAGAAUAUCUUAAGCUUCUGAUAUUGAAAUCAAGCGAUUCAAAAGCCCAAAUUUAUCUACAUGUCUAGGACUACAACUUUGAUUAGAGUCAAAGUGAGAUAAAAUCAUUUUAGAGAACAGAAUUUGACAGUAAUCUAGUUGGUUAAAAAGGUUCUUGAUCUGACAACGCUGAGCAUCCAAAUCUGACUGAGAAUCUGCCCUAAGAACAAUGAUCCCUAGGACUUAAUAAAGGUGUAGGUCAAUUUUUCAACAUGUCAUGAGUGACAGAAUAUAGCUAGGAUGGUCAGAUAUCGUACGAAACCAAGUCAGAAUCAGAGCCUAAGUUGGAACAAAAAAAAUUACGACAGCAGCAAAACCAUUUUUUUUAGUGCAAAUUCUGAGGGAUUUAUCCAACUUUAAAGACCAGAUAAAGAAGGAACGAAUUUAACAUUAUGAAGACUCCUGAUCAACCUAAGAAAACCUGACAAUUUGGGUAGUAAAGGGAAAGGAUAAAAAGAGCAGAAAACAGCUCAAACACGGUUUUGAAAAAAAAAAAUUUUAUUUCUCUGCUUUUUGUCAAUCUUCUGGCGAACAUGAGCUAAACUCCUACACUCAAUUCAAAAGAGGUAUGCACCGUCUCCAACACGUGGGGUCCAAAAUUGAGUAACAACAAUAAAGAAAAAAGAAAGAAAGCAAAACAACCGUGGGUUACUAUUGUCAUUCACGGUGCAAUGCGUGUGGGUGAACAAUGGUUUCCUCACACCCUUUAAUUUUUGUUACUUUAUAAAACUUAAUAACAUGACUUUUCUCUCAGACUAUUUUUUAACCAUAUGAGAAAAAAAAAUAAACUAUAAAAAAAGUUAAGUUCAAUUAAAAAGUCAUAAAAUCUAUAAACUAAUACCACCCACAAACCAUGCUAACAUCAUGCAUAGAAAAAAUAAAAGAAAAAAAUUACAAAACUAAAUUUUCAACCAUCUCAAUAUUAAAAAAUAAAACCAGCAAAAAUAAUUUAAAAAAAAUCAUAAAAAAAAUAUAUGAAAAGAAACCAUAUAUAUAUAAAAAACCAAUGUAAAAAAACAUUGUAACAGUACAAUACUUUUCCCAUUCAUUUAGGUUUUCUUUGUCAUAAUGGGUGACUGUGUACAUUUACAUGUAUAAAAGCAAAGGGACCCACGCAGGUCCCUGUGUUUCAUGAUGUAGGCUGAACCUGUCAACACGUUAGAUGGAGGAUGCCUGCUGAUUAGUCAAUUAUAUAAAUUCUCCAUCACCUAAAUUAAAAAAAAGUCUCACUCCCCCCACACAAAUAGAAUCACAAGUAGCCAUUUCAUAAUUUACAACGACAAAUAUUGCAAGCAAACAACUAUUUAGAAGUUACGUACAAUCUCUGUGUUGCCUGCAGCGUGAAUUUGCUUUGAACUUUUAUUUCAUGGUUUUUUCUCUUAAUUUUCAAAUUUAGUAUACUUGAUAUAUUAUUGAAUAGUUGUAUUUUACGUUUAUAAUACGUCUGGUAGAAUAUUUAAUCUGGUUAUGAAAAACUUACAAAAAAAAAAAGAAUCUAGUAGAAUUAUGCAAGUGUAUUUUUUUUUAAAAUAAUUACAACACUAGCUAUUGUUGUUUUAUAACCCUGAAAAGUGUAAUUUAAUUGAUUAAAUCCUGAGUUUGUUCAUCAGAAGUUAUUAGUUCAAGUGUUACAAACCUUAAGGCUACUAAAAACUUACAUGGUUAUUAAUUUCAGGGCCUUUAGAGAUUAGUCGAGGUGUGCAUAAGCUAACCUGCACACUCACAAAAAAAAAAAAGAAGGAAGGGCAAAAGGAGUUCCAUCCAAAUUUGGUUGGAAUUGGGAAAGAAAUAGUGGAGAAAUGCAAGCAAAUUCCUUUGGAAGUGAUCAAAAUCACAUGGGGACUCGACUUUAUGGUAAAAGUGAUGAAGGAAUCGGUGAGAGAUAGUGAGAAGUGGGAAGAAGAGGGAGAUGGUAUUUUACCUGCCUUGAAAAUAAGUUACCAAAGACCGCCGACACAUUUGAAAAGAUUAUGAGGAAGCAAUUCCCUUAGGUACCUUUAAAAUGCAUGAUCUUGCAUCAUCAUUGGCUCAAAAUGAGUUUUAAAUCAUAAGCUCUCAAAACCACCGAUUUAAUUUCCAAAAUGACCCGUUAUUUUUCAGUUACUGAUUCCAUUUCAUUUUUUCAUCACUCUCCCCAAGUCCCCAAAUGAGUUCGACCAUGUUUGGUAAAUAUUCCAUCGGAGAAGCUACAAGCCUACAACACAGUUGCAUCACGUUAAAAAUAAACUUCAAUUUAAAUAUUAUUAUUAUUAUUAAUUUAUGUGUUAAUUUGUGAUUUAGUGAAUAAUUUAAAGUUUUGAUUUUGAGUGAAUUUAAUUAAUUAAAUCGGCGCCAUUAUGUCAAUAAAAAAAAUAUUUUAAAAAAUUGAAAAAAUAAUAGAAAAAAUGCAUCAGAAGAAAUUGAUUUCCAAAAAGAGUCCUAAAUGUUCUCUUAUUGUAAGAUUAAGUUUUACUUGGCAAAAGCAUAUCAACGCUGAAAAUGGUUAAUCAAAUGGAUAUACAGAUAUCUGUACAUUUAUAAGAGCAUAAGAACAUGUUUGGUAUUAUAUAUAAAAAAACCUUUUUAUAUAAAAAUAUAUAAAAAUAAUAUUUUUUUAUUUUUUAAAAUUUAUUCUUGAUUAGCAUAUUAAAACGAUGUAAACACAUAAAAAUAAAAAAUAUAUUAAUUUUUUAAAUACAAAAACGAACUACCCCUAAUUUGAAAACUAUAAUAUGGGCUCUGGCUCCAUAUGCUCAGAGAAGUCUUGUGUGAUGCAGAGGACGUGCUCGAUGAUUUUGAGUGCGAAAUUUUUCAAAGCCAGGAGUUGAAAACUAAAGGGAGCACCAGCAGAAAGGUACUACACUUCUUUACAAGUUCUCCAUUCCGUUUACUAAUGGGUCAUAAGAUAAAGAAGAUCAUAGAAAGACUAGGUGAGAUUUCAUCUCUUAAGUCUGACUUCAACCUCAGCGAGCAGGCUAUUGAUUGUAGUCAUGUCUCGCAUGAGGGAACAGAGAUGAACCGAUCCUUUGAGACCUUUUCCGGUCUUAUCGGACGAGAUGAAGACAAAGAACGCAUCAUCAACCUUUUAGCAGAACCUUUUAAGGUUGGUGAUGCACAUCCCCUUGUCCUUCCGAUAGUAGGAAUGGGAGGCUUGGGGAAGACAUCUCUUGCCAAAUCGGUGUGUGAUGAUGAGAUUGUAAACACUCAUCAUUUUGAUCUGAAGAUGGAGGCAUGUGUUUCAGAUGAUUUUUCCUUGAAACAAGUGCUACAAAAAAUUAUUAAAUCUGCAACUGGGGAAAGAUGUGCGGAUUUGGAUGGGGGUGAGCUUAAGAAAAAACUUGAAGAAAUUCUGAAUGGUAGGAAAUACUUGCUUCUUUUGGAUGAUGUUUGGAAUGAAGAUGCUCAAAAAUGGUUGUUGUUGAAGCCUUUGUUAUCAAAAGGUGCUGGUGGAAGUAAGAUUAUAGUCACUACCCGUAGUCAACGUGUUGCUGAGAUUACGGGUACUGUUGCUGCGCACAACCUAAGUCUUCUUGGUCAAGAGGACUGUCUGUCGUUGUUUUACAAGUGUGCAUUCAAGGAAGGGCAAAUGGAGUUGCAUCCAAAUUUGGUUGGAAUUGGGAAAGAAAUAGUGGCGAAAUGCAAGCAAGUUCCUCUGGCAGUGAUUAACUUGGGGACACAACUGUAUGGUAAGACUGAUGAAAAAGAGUGGAAAUCGGUGAGAGACAGUGAGAAGUGGGAAGAAGAGGGAGAUGGUAUUUUACCUGCCUUGAAAAUAAGCUAUCAAAGACUGCCGACUCACUUGAAAAGAUGCUUUCUUUAUUGUUCCAUUUUUCCAAAAGAUUAUGAGUUCGCAGAUCUCUUAUUGGUGCAAUUUUGGAUGGCACA